rnacentral:lncRNA from 1 species
CUUAUUUAUAGCGGCAGAUGGAGGAAAAAUUCUAGAAUGCAACGGGUAUAUUAGUGACGUGGCGUAACAAACCAAUCAAAUUAAUCCUUUUAAGAAUAUAUGUCCCAUCAUGAUUGUAAAAAAAUAUUUGUAUUGUACUUUUGUUUGAAAAGAAGAAAUGUGAUUGGCUUGUUAUUGAUGACGUGGUGCAAGUGUGACAGUGUAGAAUUCCUCCAGAUGGAGAGCUCCCUGGAUGGGACAAAAAUUGUGUUUUUGACCUACUAAGCCUAAGAAAAUUUCUAUGAUUCAAAUUUUCUUAAAAACGAUAAAAUUUUCACUAUUUUCAUAUUAUUUAUAUAUUAUUUAUAUUUGAACUCUAAAAAAUAUAUAGUAUUAAACUUUAAAAAUAAAAAGCGCUGAAUAAUUUAUUGUAUUUAAAAAGUGAUUAUUUAUUCACUGUAAAAAUAUAAUUUUGUGAAUAAGUUUUCUGCCAAAUUAUUUUUAAAAUUAUAAUACUUUUAAUUUUAUUAAUAAAAAAUUAGACAAAACCAUUUGGAGACUGAAAAUUCAAAUUAUAUAUUUGAGUCUGUCGAAUCUAUUGCUAUCCGGGCGUGGGAUCCCACAUUUCUGAGUAAAAAUUUCAUAUAUACUUAAAAAAUUACAAAAAAGUUAAACAUGUAAAACAUUUUUUAGAUAAAUUUUUAGUUUUUGAACUUAAUAUCAACAUCAUAAUUAUAAAAUUUUUCAAAUUCGUAAUUAUUUUAUUUUGGAUAAAUAUAUUUUAAUUUUUAAUACUAAAAAACGCAUCAAGAAUUGCCGAAAUUAUUUGUUGGCUUGCCGAAAAAUUAUUUUCAUUUAAAAAUUAAAAGUCUGCAUAAUUAUUUGACAUUAAGUUUUGAAACUAGUAAGUUUAUUAAGUUUUUUUCUAAUAGUUUUCUUAAUAUAUAUUAAAAUUUUUAAAUUAAUUGCUUCAAAAAAGUUUGGACCUGCUAUGUGUUGAAAAGAAUAUUCAUUCUAAUUAAAUAAUGUGUCUCGAGAUGUGAGAUUCAACACUCACAUGAAAAUAGAUUUCACAGUCUUAAAUUCAUAAUUGGGGGUUUUAUUUUCAAGCAACUUUUGUUCCCCUCGAUCCGUUUUUGAUUUGUAUGCGCUGUACUGGAGUCUUCUCUAGUGCUUGGGAUGUAUUUAAGAUCUGCAAGCUACAUUAGCUGCUGGAGUUCGUGUUGGCAAAAUGCAUAAAAAUAAGGAUAAAGUUCAAUUACCACUCAUGUAAUUUCACACUUUUUUACUUUAAUAUUCUGUAAUUUUAAGUGUAUCAAUUUAGUACUCUGUGGUUUCUUUCUUUCGUUUCAUCAUUGUUUUUUGUUAAAUUAAUGAUAAAGUUAAAACUAAAAAGUAUUAAAGUAAAUAUUCGAUAAACCUAGGUAGGGUAUCUGAAAUUUUUUGUAUAUAAUUUAACGAAAUGUUAAUGAAGGAGCUGACAAAAAAAAAAAAAACCAUAUGAUACUAAAUUGAUACAUUUUAAAUCACAUGAUACUAAACUGAGAAAGCGCGAAACUACAGUGGUGAUUUUGAAGUUUACCCUAAAAAUAAUCUUAUUCCAAUGAGCUUGGGUUCUCUUUUUCUUAUGCUUGUGCCAUAUAAAAUCCUCACCAAUAAUCGUGAAAAAAGGUUAGGAUAGAUUCGAAUAACCGAAUAUUUUAAUAGUAUUAUAUUUUAUAUUAAUAAAUUAAAUUAUAAUAUUUGAUUACUAAUUUGUGUGAAGAGAUAUGAACCAUAAAAACGACUUGAUUAUUAUUUGUGGACAGAUAAUGAGAAAUUUGAUAACUUAUAAUGGAAAGAUAAUAUAUGCUAUCCAUUUUGUUUAUUUUAUUUAGAAAUAAAUUUAUCUGAAAAUGUGAUUCAAUUAGGAUUCGAAUUUGAAAUCUAGGUACCAAUCAUCAAGCCCUUUGCCGAAAUUUUUUUUUUUAAAAAAUAUAGAUUCGAAUAACCGAAUAUUUUAAUAGUAUUAUAUUUUAUAUUAAUAAAUUACAUUAUAAUAUUUAAUUACUAAUUUUUGUGAAGAGAUAUGAACCAUAAAAACUUGAUUGUUAUUUGUGGACAGAUAAUGAGAAAUUUGAUAACUUAUAAUGGAAAGAUAAUAUAUGCUAUUCAUUUUGUUUAUUUCAUUUAGAACCAAAUUUAACUGAAAAUGUGAAUCAAUUAGAAUUCGAACUUAGAAUCUAGAUACCAAUCAUCAAGUCUUUUGCCGCUUAGUCUAUAUCCAAUAUGUUUUCAACCCUACCCACCAAGCGCACAAGUUCGAGAUGGAGUAGGCAAAAUGAUGUAUAAAUAGUAAACUUAUAUACUCCUAGGUAGGAGACCUAUAGGUAAAGCGUAAGUUUGAGUCCUAAUCCAAUAAUACGCGAGAAGAAGAGAGCUAGGUUACCUUCGUGACUUGUUCGGAAAUAAGGCGGGAAAUAAUUUCUGUUCCCUCCUUUGUUUCCAAACGUCGCAUUUGGUGUCCGAAAACAGUAGUUUUCGGAUUCCUAAAAUAAGCUGAUAUAAGGAUGAAACUGUUGUUUCACCUUUUUUCUGAAACAAGCUUGUUCCCGGUUAAAUUUAAUUUUAAUGACAGUAAAUCAUUAAUUAAUCUAAUUAAUAUAUUUAAAUUAUUAUUUAUUAUUUAAAUAAUAAAAUAAAUAAAUAAAUAAAUAAUUAUAAUAAAUUAUUAAUAAUUUGAUAAUUAAUAUUAUUAAUUUAUUAUUUUUAAUUAAUUAUUAAUAAUUUUUAUAAUUAUUAUUAUUUAUUAAUAAANAAUUUAAUAAUUAUUAUUAUUUAUAAUUAUUUAUUAAUAAUUUAUUUAUUAUUUAUUUUUAAGUAAUAUUUUGAUGUUAAUUAAUUAGAUAAUAUAAUUUUAAUUUCAAAUUAUAACUAUUAUUUCUCUUGUUCCAAUCUAAUAAUCUAAACGCUAUUUACCUUAUUCCUAAAAACAACUUAAUUUUUAUCCAAACGCAAAAUUACUCUAGUUCUUGUUUAUACUUGAAAUUGUACAUUUUCUUAAAAUAAGCAGUUCUUAUUUAUAUCCGAACCAAACACAACCUUAAAAUAUUAUCUACGGUUAAAAUUUAGGGGCGCCCCACAAAACAAACAACAAUUGUGUGAGAUUUUAAAAUUUGUGGGGUAGAGGAUUAAUUUAUUUAAUGCGAGUUAAAACAAGCCCUUAAUUAGAACCAGAGACAUCAGGUUUAGAUCUUUUUCUUUUCUUUUGAGAGGAAAGUAGUAUGCUAUCAUCCGUUUCGUUUAUUUUUUUAAAAAAAUAAAUAUUUUUUUUUAAAACAAAACAUAGCUAAAAAUGUGAAAAAUGUGAAUCAACUACAAUUCGAACUUGGGGCCUUGGUACUAACAACCAAGCUCUUCGCCACUUACGCUUGGGACGAUCGGUCUGUGCUGUAUAUGGAGUUAACGAUAGUUUUCUGUUAAGGACCAAUUCUCACAAUCAAUGGCGUAAUGUGAUUCACGUUCCUCUGCUUCCGUUGCAUUAUUUAUUGUUGUAAUCAACGCCACAUCGUGCUAUCGUCAUCCUCGCUUGUAAUCGGCUGAUAAAAAAAUCGAUAGAUACAUUUAAAACUUAUAUAAAUUACUAACCAUUCUGUAUUGAUUAUCUAAUCUUCAAAAAUUAUAAUAAUAUAAGUUUAUUAAAUUUAUAGUUGCGAGAGACAAAAUGCAUGUGAUGGCCUCGUGCUAUUGGUUGUGAGAACUGGUCCUAGGAUGAACUCGUAAAGUUUCUAGUAAUUAGACUUUAAUUAGAGAUGUUGAUUGAGCGAGUAGGUUCCUCUCAACAAGUCCUCUUCGCCAGUCCAUUUUAGAAAUAUUUAAAAGACUCGCAGUCUUUUUUCGGAUUCUAAAUUUUCUACUUGCUCUAGUCUAAAUUGGUUAAACUUUGGUCGUAGAUAAGGCAUCUAUUUCCUCCCUUUUGGCUGCUUCUACCGUAAUAAAAAUAUUUGAUAAUACAACAAUCGUUCCUGACCCAAAUGACAAAAAAUUUAGUGGUUGGUACAAUAUUAAAUUAACCUUUUUAAUCAUUUCUACCUUUUAAAUUAAUAUUAUUUUUCUAGAAAAAUUACUAAACACCAGAAGAAUCACUUAAUCCUAAAAAAAUCACUAUCAUCUCAACUCUACAAUCUUUAAUCUAAGGACCAGAAAUUAAAAACACCAACUCUUUUGUACUUUCGAAAAUUUAGUAACUCUAUACUCACUCUAUAUAUAUAGAAAAAGAGAGAAAUAGUACCCUAACCACUUCAAUAUUUAUUAUGAUGCCGCAUAUUAUGUUGAGAAACAGUUUUACAGGCUCUUUUUGCAAACUUAAAAUGGAUGAUAUAAUUCUUCAAUAAAAUCUCAGGGGCGUUGACAAAUACAAAAUAUCAAUUGUGUGAGAUUUUAAAUUUGUCUGGCAGAGGAUUUAUUUUUAUGCGAGUUUAAAACAUGCACGCCAUUCACGACUAGAUUUGUCUGCUAGCAGAUUUUAAUUCAUUGCUCCUCCGCUUAAUUAGAACCGGGGAAGGAGAGCUCCCAAGAUCCAGUUUAGACUUCGAUCCGCGUGGAGUCAACCAUACUUUUCGAGAUGUAACCAUUCUAUAUUAUUAAAUUAAAUAAUCAACUUAAAUUUUGAUUUUAAAAUACUAUAGGUGGACUCAAAUUAAAUAAAUUAAAUAAUUAAAUAGUAAAAUUAAAAUUUUAAAAAUUAAAUAAUUAAUUCAAAACGGUCGGUCGUUUCGAUAAAUUUGAUAUAUUUUUAUGAAUUCCUUAUACACCUAUAUUAUGCAGGAGGUUAGCAAUAGCACGGUGUGAUGUUGACUAGUAUAAUAAAUGAUAUAAGAGGAAUAUAAGCAUGUGCAUCACAUUGUACCUUUGAUUAGGAGAAUUGUUCCGGUAACAUUUUAGGAAUAAUUAAAAAGAGCCGAAUUCUUUUUAUGGGUUCUAAAUUUUCAAAUUUCUUUUCGGGCCAAUUUGCAUAAAAAAUUUACUUAUUUUGGACUUUUGUAAAGCCGGGCCACCUUUUUCGUUUUUGCAGCUCGGUCCGCUUUUUCAGCAAACUGACCAAAAUAUCCUUAUACCUUUUUCUUUCUCCUCUUUUUUUUCUCUUGUUCUUUUUUUUCUUUCUCUUCCUAGAGAGCGGCGGAGACAGAGCGGAGACGGCCUACUUCGAUUUUGUCCGACGCAUCCUUACUCUCGUCCACACACCCCCACCUUCCUCGCCUCCGACCUCACCGAGGCCGCGCCGCGACUCUUUUUUUUUUUUUCCUCUUCGACUCUCCUCCACUGUCUCCGACGACAAUGCCUCUCUUGCCCUUCUCCUCCCUUCUCGUCCUCUCCCUCUCCCUCCUCCUCUGACGCCUCCGACGACGAUGCAUCUUCGCAGGCGCCAACGCCAGCGCCGACACCGUGGAGGUCACUGCGGCGCUGCAGCCUCGGAGCGGAGGGUCCUUAGCGGCAUCGUCGCCGGCGCCGUGGCCGUUGGCAGAAAAGGGUGACCAAAAAAAUUAUAAAAGAAAUAAGAAAAAAAAUAAAGAUAAAAAAUUAUAAAAAAAUAAGAAUGAAGAUAAAAUUGCAUCGUUAACUGUAAAAAAAAUUAUAAGUUGCAUUACUUAAAAUGUAAACUGCAGUUUUAAGAUAAAAAUUAUACUUGUUAAAUAAAAAUUACACUCUUUGGGAGAUAUUUACACUAUUUUUUCUCUUAUUGCACUCUUUUAGAUGUAAACUGUAUUAUUAAAAUGAAAGUUACACUCUUUAAAUGAAAGUUGCACUGUUUCUCCUCUUGUUGCACUAUUUCUCCUCUUGUUACACUGUUUUUUAUUUUAAACUGUACCAUUUUAAGAGAUAUUUAUACCGUUUCUCCGCUUGUUACACUGUUUCUUCUCUUGUUACACUAUUUAUCCUCUUGUUACACUGUUUUUAUCUUAAACUGCACCUUUUAAGAGAAGAAACAGCGUAAUAAGAGAAGAAAUAGUGCAACAAGAGAAAAAAUAGUGGAACAAGAGGAGAAACAGUAUAAAUAUCUCUUAAAUGGGUGUAGUUUAAGAUAAAAAAUAGUGUAACAAGAAAAAAAUGGUGCAAUAAGAGGAGAAACAGUGCAACUUUUAUUUAAAGUGUGUAAUUUUUAUCUUAAUGGGUACAGUUUAUAUCUGAAAGACUGCAAUAAGAGGAGAAAUAGUGUAAAUAUCUCCCAAAGAGUGUAAUUUUUGUUUAAAGAGUGUAAUUUUCAUCUUAAAGCUGCAGUUUACAUCUUAAGUAGUGCAACUUAUAAUUUUUUUUGCAGUUAACGAUAUAAUUUCAUCUUCAUCCUUCUUUUUCUAUAAUUUUUUAUCUUUAUUUUUUUUUUCUUGCUUCUUUUAUCAUUUUUUUUGGUCAACCCUCUCCACGGCGCCGGCGAUGAUGCCGCUAAGGACCCCCCGCUCCGAGGCUCCAGCGCCGCAGUGACCUCCACGAUGUUGGCGCCGGCGUCGGUGCCGGCGAAGAUGCAUCGUCGUCGGAGGCGGCAGAGGAGGAGGGAGAGGGAGAGAACGAGAAGGGCGGAGAAGGGUAAGAGAUGAGUCGUCGUCGGAGACAGUGGAGGAGAGUCGAAGAGGAAAAAAAAAGGAGUCGCAACGCGGCCUCGGCAGGGUUGGAGGCGAGGAAGGUGCGGGGGUGUGUAGGCGAGGGUAAGGAUGCGCCGGCAUAUUGUCGACGCUGGCGAAGAUGCAUCGUCGUCGGAGGCGGCAAAGAAGGAAGGAGAGGGAGAGGACAAGAAGGGCGGGGAAGAGCAAGAGAAGCGUUGUCGUCGGAAACGGUGGAGGAGAGUCGGAAAGGAAAAAAAAGAAGUCGCGGUGCAGCCUUGGCAGGGUCGGAGGCAAGGAAGGUGCGGGGGUGUGCGGGCGAGGGUAAGGAUGCACCGGACAAGCCGCCUCCUCCGCCUCCGCCGCUCUCUGGGAAGAGAGAAAAAAAAAACGAAGGAAAAAAAAAAGGAGAGAGAAAAAGGUAUGUGGGUAUUUUAGUCAGUUUGCUGAAAAAGCGGACCGAAUCUGCAAAAAGAAAAAAGGUGGCCCGAUUUUGCAAAAGCCCAAAAUAAGUGAAUUUUUUAUGCAAAUUGGCCUGCUUUCAGUCCAAAGUGAUUAAAUUUUGGUUGUAUAUAAGAUAUUUUUUUCUCUUCCCUUUUGGCCCUUCAUAUGUGAUAGCAACAUUUGAUAAUAGAAAUAACUCUAUAUGACUAAAAUGAGUUGAAGAAUAUCAUAUAUCACGCGUAAAAGAGAUAUCUAUAUCUAUACUACUUUAGUAACUUCGAGUUUGAGAGGUAGGUAAAUCAACUCUGUCGAGAAGAAAUCUGAACCAUUUGAAUUUUCGGAUUUGAGACAUUUUACCUAUCUAUCCACCCUACCAUCUAUUAUCUCUUCAUCUUAUAUGUUAAGUCAAUUUUAAAAAUUGAAUAUUAAAAAUUUUAAAUUUAUAAAUUUAUCAAUUUAAACUUAUAUAAUUUUAAAUUUAUAAAUAUGAAGAAUCAAAAAUAGAAAAUAUUAAAUAUAUUUAAUUUUAACUAUCUAAUUAUUAAAUUUUAAUACUUAAAUUGAUAGUUAGUAAUUUAAAACUAAAAUAUAAUUUAAGAGAUAUGAUCUACACCAAUUAGAGGCUUUAUAUGCAUAAACAGUCGUAGAUUUUUAAAAUAGGGAUAAAAUCUAAAAUAUAUCCUCUAAAACAUUAAAAAUAUCUAAUUUACCUCAGGCUAACCAAAAUGGAGCAAUACUACUUGUUAAAAACAAUUCAUGUGAUGAACUGAUAAUAUCAUAUUAGCUGAAAAACAAAUGGAGCAAUGCUGCUUGUACACCAAAAGAAAAAGUAUAAAUUUUAUCCCAUCAUCGGAUGAUCAAUAAUGUACCCAUAACUUGUGUUAACCUUUUUCCUUUUAAUACAAAAAAAUUUUAAGAAAUUUCUAAACCCUACAAUUGAGGGCAUAAGACUUAUAUUUCUUUUUGUGGUGUAUAGUUAGCUACCGUUAAAAAUUUUGGACAGUAAAUUAUUGUUGAAUUAUUUUAUGUAAAAUUGAUUUGGUAAGUAACACGACAUAGUUAUUAUAUAGUAAAAAACAAUUCAUGUGAUCCUCGUGACGCAUGUUAUUAUUUUGGCCAAUAGAAUUCGUUAUUUAUAUAUUUUGAGGGGAGACGAAUAAGAAUACUGUUACAUGCAAUCACAGAUCCCAAAACUUAGUCAUUUCCUUCUGAUUGGGUGCUGGUCAAAUUUCAAUCCAAGCUAUUUUUAAGGUUUUUAUUAAAAAAACAAUUGAUUCCAGAGCUUUUUUACGUCAACUUUUAAAAGCCGUUUUCCAACCGACAUGAGUUGGCCCAUAAAAACUAAACGCCGCAACGUGCUAUCCUCAUCCUCGUAUAUAAUAGGCAGAUAAAAAAUUAAUAAAAGUACAUAUAAAACUUACAUUAAUUAUUGAUCAUUUUGUAUUGAUUAUUUAAUCUUUUAAAAUUUUAAUUUUACUGUCUAAUUUUUUGAUUUACUUGAUUUGAGUCGGUCAACUUCAAAAUAUAAAUUUUUUAUUUAAUUUAUUAAAUUUAUAGUUGCGAAUUAUCGUAAGAAGUAUACUAACUAAAAUCUAAAUACCGUUGACCGGCUCAAAUCAAAUAAAUUAAAAAGAUUAGAUAAUAAAAUUUUAAAAUUUAAAUACUCGAUUUAAAACAAUGAUUAAGUAAAAUUUUGUUGGUUUUCGUCAACUUUUUAUGUAAGUAUUACAUGUAAGUUUUUAUUACAAGGCGCGGGUUUGGUUAUAUAAUUAUUGAAGGCGCGGGUUUAACGAACUUGUAUACCUAAGGAACGAAGUAUAUUCUCGUUGCUGUUGUCAUGAAGCUGACAAAGACAAAUUGUGUUAGAUCAGGGGCUUUAUACAUACUCAUUUCUAAAAAAAUAUUUAUAAAUUACUAGAAAAUUUAUUAGUAUUUUUCUAAUAAUUUUUUAAGUAGUUAUGUAUGUAUCUCAUAACAAAAUUAUAGGAUAAAAUUAUUGAUAUUUAGACUUUCCAUUAGAAUGCAGAGAAGAAGAUGAAAAAAAAGGGCCGAAUAUCAGCUCGUUAAGAUAGCCAGAAAUAAAAACAAAAACUAAUUAUCCUUUUGUAUAUAUGUGGCAAAAGCCGUCAAAUUUGUAACUUAGUUUUUCUUCUUAGCCUAAUUAGCAAUGUCAAUGUUUGUUAUAUAUGUACAUGGUACAACAAAUAUCUUAGAAUCUUUGUGAAAUUUUAUACAAAUAAACUAAUGUGCAUUACGUAUAUAUGCAACUUAAUUUGCUAGUCCUACAGAAUUAGCCAAGAUGGGUUGUGCAGAUUCGGGCUCUCCUGUAAGAUCCGAUCCGGAUGGUCAAAUGAAAAUCUUUGUGCAGUCAGAAUAUCCAGGAAAUUAUGUGCUUAAGGUGGACAGCUCUAACACCAUCCGGGAUGUGCUAGCCACCAUUCUUUCUACUAAGCGGUUAGAGUCACGACCGGAACCUGGGCUUUACUUCAAUGGCCAAAAACUAGAGAUGGCCUAAUCUCUGGCGGCCUACGGUAUCCAGGAUUGCUCCGUCCUUCAGCUUGAGUGCACAUCCUGGAUAUAUUAUAGUGCAAUUGUGCAAAUGUGUACGUAGCAUCUUUUUAUUACAAGUUAUUUACGUCAAAACCCUUUAACUGAUUACAUUAUUUAUAACUAGUUAUCAGCUUAUCAUUGAGUUUGAAGUUGAGAACACACGGCGCAUUUAUCUUUGCACUUGUUGCUUAAUUCCUUUUACAAGUCAUGUUAGCAAGCGCGCCCCACCUGAAUGAAUUAAUUUUGAAGUUAGAACUUCUUUUCUCUGUUUGUAAGAAAAUGAAUUUAUAUAUGUUAGAGCCGGAGUUAUAUAAUGAAGUUAUCGAGGGGAAAAACUUAGUAUAUAUCUGGCAUUUUCAACCACUAUGCUCUAGAGUGCUUCAAUAUGAGAUUUUAGCUAAUCUUUAGUUAGUAUUACCUUGUGCUUGUUUAUGUUCAGUUUUAAUUGUACGCACGAUAUAAGAGACAUCAUCUCAUGCUCUGUGGAAAAUAGACCUGUGAAGUGUUCAUUUCUGAGCUCAAUUAUCUCUUAGAUUGACUUCGUAUUCAAAAUCGCAUGCCUCACUUUAAUCAACUAACCAAAAAGAUGACUUGUAAGGAUGCGCAGAUAUGUCACCUUCCUUUUUUGUAUUUGUCUCUAAUGAACUCACUUUGACAGUUUGUAUUAAAUAUAAUCAUAAUCUGGGGCUUUAAAAAAAAGAAAAAGAAGAAGAAGAAGAAGAAGAAAACAUGUACAUCAUCUUCUCCACUUUUGCGUUCGUAUGCUUUCUAACAGAAUCAGGACAUAUUAUUUUUCAGAAAAAAGUAGCACGCUAUAGUCAGGAUAUAUCAUUAGCUGCAUACUUUCUUGCUCAGAUGUUUUCCUAAACUUCGAUAGCAAGAAGAAUUCAUUUAUUAUGAAUGUCAUCUUAUGUCUAUUUGGUAUUUCUCAUGCAGUUAUAACUUUCUCAAUACUUACUAAUGGUUGUAAUUUACUAAUGAAUGAAGCGGAUAACAUACUACUUUUUCUUAGAAAAAAAAAAAUACUAAUAGUUAUAUUAUUUUUCCUUUUAAAAUCAGAACGUUCUUUAUUUCUUCAGCCAAUAAAAUUCUUAAGUUACACAUUUUGAUUUCCCUUUUGUGUACUUGUAUCUACAGAAGUGAGAAGCCAAAUCCAAUUUUGGGCAGGAAAAAAAUUAGAAUAACAGAUUGGCCUUUUACAAUCUGGGAAGAGGAGCAUGAUAAAGUAUUGCUUGGUUUGUUGGUGGAACAAAUUCGAAAUGGAGGGAGAGAAUCACUAGAUGUUGGAAAGGAUUCGUGGAGUGACAUGGCGGCUCGGUUCAAUGAAUCAACAGGUUUCAAAUAUACCGAAAAGCAGUUGCACGAGCGCUUCAAUUUUUAUGAACGUGAAUAUCAAAUAGUGAACAGCAUCAGGAAUCAUCAAAAGUUUAGUUGGGAUCAUCAUCGUCAAGUAGUAAUUGCCACAGAUGCUGAUUGGAAAGAAUUUGUCAUGGUAUACCGCCCACAUCACUUUUCGAAAUAUUUAGUACUUAGUUUAGUUGAUGCUAAGCUUUCCAUUUAAUUGAUCCAAACCUUUGUACUUUUACACGGGAAAAAUUCGAAGCGAGGCCCUAUCGAAGGAGACCAGUACCAUAUAUUGAUUUAUUGGAAAUCUUGUUCGCUGAUAAAAAAGAAUCAGAAAUCGUAAUUUCCAAUGAAUGACUCUUUCAUCAGGAGUAAUGUUGUAAUCUAUCUGAUCUCUACUUAUCAGAUCUAAACAUAACAUUAUUAUGCUGUACUUUUUGCGUGCCAUUUCUCGUCAGUUUGAAUACAGAUUAUCUUAUCAUUCACUAUUAAUUAAAUUGUGGUCUAAGCUUAUAACUAAUGCUCCUGCAAUAAUUACAUGAUUAGGUCAGUAGAUAAUCUAAAUUGAAUUUAAUUAUCUGAACAUCACGAGUGAUGCCCUAUCGUGGGAGAAGAAGUACUAUACAUUGAUUUAUUCAAAAUACCAUUUGCUGACAAAGAAUAACCAAAAUUUCUGGUCUAAUGAGUGACUCUUUUGAAAGGAGCAAUGUUGUAAUCUAUCUAAUCUUUACUCAUGCAAUCUAAACAUUGGAUUAUCUACAUCAAAAUGUUGUCCACAUUUAACCAAAUAAUUUGGAUUGUGAGAUUUGAUUGUAAUAAUUCAAAAAAUUUGAAAUAAAAAUUAUAAUAAAUUAAAAUAUAAUGACGAAAGUAUAUAUCAUGCGGCACAUAGCUUGAGGACCAAAAGUGUAAUUUAUCGUAAUUUGAAAUUAAAAAUGCAAUAUGAGUAAAACAGCCUACAAUAUUUAAAUGCUUUAUGUAUAUUUAAAUUGAUAAAAACAUACACAAUCUAUCUAAACCACUAAUCAUUUUUUAGCGUAAACUUCAAAUAUUCCCCUGUGGUUUCACACUUUCUUAUUUUAAUACCCUAUGAUUUAAAGUGUAUCAAGUUAGCCCUAUGAUUUCGCACUAUCUCCCAAGAUCCGGUUUAGAUAUUGAUGCGCCUGGAGCCAAGGAUCGCUUUCGGUCUUUACUAAAUAAUCCAAAAGACCAAUUCUCAGAAUGAAUAUCACAAUGUAAUUCACGAACUAUUUACCUAUCUGGCCUCUUUACAAAAAAAUAUUUCCUAUCUAGCCUUCUUUUAAAAAAUAUUCCCCAUCUAGCCUCAUUUUCAAAGAUUAGAGAAAAAAAGAGAAAUUAAUACCUUUAAUAUAUAUUAAGAGGUUAAGUGGGGGAGAUUAUCUUUUUCUCUCUCCUCUCCUAUUUCCCGAGAUCCUUUCUCACUCUCUAAUUUUUGCGUAUAAUUUAUCUCAUAUCGAUUUAUUUCAAAAUAGAAAAUUUUUAUAUAGCGCAUCAAUCUUUUUUAUAUUUUGAUGGAAAUAUUAUGCAUGGUUCGGAAGGAGUUGAUUAUAAUGGUCCUGAUCCAAAAUUAUUUGGAUUUCUUGUACUUUAGGUUUUAAUACAUUAAAACAUAAAAUUUAUAGGCCGAAUGGGAUCAAGAUUAUUUUGAUAUAAAAAUAAAUGGGAGAGGAGAGAGAAAAAGAUAAUCUCCCCCACUUAACCCCUUAAUAUAUAUUAAAGGAAUUAAUUUCUCUUUUUUUCUCUAAUAUUUGAAGAUGAGGCUAGAUGGGGAAUAUUUUUCAAAAGAAGGCUAGAUAGGGAAUAUUUUUUUGUAAAGAAGCUAGAUAGGUAAAUAGUUCGUAAUUCACAUACUUUUGUAUCUGUAGCAUCAUUUAGUAUUGUAGUAAUCAACACCUCAUCAUGCCAUCUACAUCCUCCUAUGUAAUUGGCACAUAAAAAAUUAAUAAAAACAUAUAUACGGAACUUACACCAUUAUAAAUCUAUUAUUUAAUUAUUAAAAAAUUUAAUUUUAUUAUCCAAUUUUUUAAUUUAUUUAAUUUGAAUUAGGCAAUAAUAUUUAACUUCAAAAUUUAAGAUUUUUAUUUAAUUUAAUAAAUUUAUAGUUACGAAAAUUGUACAUUUGUAUAAAAUAUAGGCUAAAUUAUAUAAAAUCUCCAUGUCAAAAUCUGAUUUUUCAUUUUUCCUCAUGUCAUUUAAAAAUCUAUACUUUAUCCCGUUAUAAAAUAAAAAAUAUUCACUUGGCACCCUACCGUUAGUAAUUCGUUAGGAUUCCAUUUAUAAAAUAUUAUUAUAUAUUUUUUUUUGCCAAAAAUGUCUUCAGCCUUCUCUUUUGUGAACAUGGUGAGGGGCAAAAAGAUCAUUUUUGUCAUCACAGUUCACACCGUACUCUUCUGUGAAUAUUUUUUAUUUUAUAAGAGGGCAAAGUGUAAAUUUUUAAAUGAUAGGAAAGAAAAAGUAAAAAAUUAAAUUUUGACAGAGGAAUUUUUUAUAAUUCAGCCUAAAAUAUACUAGCUAAAUUUGUUGAAGCAAAUGAUGUAUUUAGGCUUUUUUUGCAUAAAAAAAUCCAUUUAUUUUGGGCUUUUGCAAAAUCGGGUCAUCUUUUUUAUUUUUGCAUAUUCGGUCCGCUUUUUCAGUAAACUGAUCAAAAUAUCUUUAUUACUUUUUCUCUUUUCUCUUUCUCUCUCCUCUUCGUUUCUGUCGUUCUUUUUUUUUUCUCGCCGAAAAAAAAAGAGGCGGACCGGACCGUCGUCUUCUUCUUCACCGUCGCCUCCUUCCUCACCCUCCUCUCCACCGCCCGCGACCCCCUCCUCCUCUCCCCCGCCACCGCGGACCCCCAGCCUGAUCCCGUCGCCGUGGCGGUAGCGGCCGCGACGAACGGGGUCGGGCUGGAUGCGGAGAAGAAGAUGACGUCGAAGAAGAAGAAGGGGAGGCCGAGCGGCAGAGCGCAGGAGGGGGAGGCAGAAGCACAGCCGGCGCCAGCGCCGCGGACCCCCAGCCCGAUCCCGUCGCCGCAGCGGCAGCGGCCGCGGCGAACGGGGUCGGGCUGGAUGCGGAGGCCGAGGCGAAGAAGAAGACGACGACGAAGAAGAAGAAGGGGAGGCCGAGCGGCAGGGUGCAGGAGGGAGAGGCGGAGGCGCAGCCGGCGCCGGCGAGGAGUGGGGACCAUUACACCAUUACACAAUUACACCAUUUUGCACCAUUACACCAUUACACUAUUUGCACCAUUACACCAUUACACCAUUUGCACCAUUACACCAUUAUAAUUUUGCACCAUUAUACCAUUACACCAUUUGCACCAUUACACCAUUACACCAUUUUACACCAUUACGCUAUUACACCAUUUGCACCAUUACACCAUUACAAUUUUACACCAUUACACCAUUAUACUAUUUGCACCAUUACACCGUUACACUAUUUGCACCAUUACACCAUUACACCAUUUGCACCAUUACACCAUUCGCUGGUCGGCUGCUUCUGCGUGGUGGCGGGAGGAGGGGCGGCGCCGACGGAGAAGAACACGCGCGGCGCCGGCUGGGCCUCAGCCUCCCCCUCCUGCGCCCUGCCACUCGGCCUCCCGUUCUUCUUCUUCGGCGUCGUCUUCUUCUUCGCCUCGGCCUCUGCAUCCAGUUUAGGCCUUCUUCUUCGCUGUCGUCUUCUUCUCCGCCUCGCCGUCGUCGGGCUACAUCUACAAGACGACCAACUCGGUGUACCGGCCGGACUCGCCGGAGUCGCGCUUCACCAACUCGUCGGACGAGGGGCGCGAUCGGGACAUGGCCAGCCUGUCGACGGCGACGUCCGACGACGAGUAGUACGACGGCGAGUCUUCGGAGAGCGUGAUACGCGGCAUUAAGUCGUCGGCGCACGUCGACCGCCUCUUCUUUGAGCCCCUCGGCGCCGACACGGGCUCCAUACUCGGCGACGCGGUGCCGAAGAAGGCGGAAGACGAUGACGACGACGGCGAGGCGGUGCCGUUCAAGGAGAGCGUGGUGGUGGCCAUGGAGUCGUGCGACCCCCUUCCCUCCCCCCCCUCUCCUUCCGCUUCGCUCCCACUGGCAGGCCCAGUGGGCUCGGCGACGGCGACGGAGACGACGGUGGGGGUGGGCUCGGCGGCGGCGGCUGGGGAGAGGAGGAGGGGGUCGCGGGCGGUGGAGAGGAGGGUGAGGAGGGAGGCGACGGUGAAGAAGAAGGCGACGGUCCGGUCCGCCUCUUUUUUUUUUCGGCGAGAAAAAAAAAAAGACAGAAACGAAGAGGAGAGAGAAAGAGGAAAGAGAAAAAAUAAUAAGGGUAUUUUGGUCAGUUUGCUGAAAAAGCGGACCGAAUCUGUAAAAACAAAAAAGGUGAUCCGAAUUUGCAAAAGCCCAAAAUAAGUAGAUUUUUUAUGCAAAAAGACCAUGUAUUUAUAUUAUAAAAUCAAGAUACCGUUGGCUAAUUGAAACCAAAUAAAUUAAAAAGAUUAGAUAGUAAAAUAAACAUGUGAAAGGUUGAAUAAACAAUACAAAAUAUUUUAUAAUUUAGAUAAAUUUUAUAUAUUUUUAUUAAAAAAAUGAAAUAAAAAUGUCUCCCGAAGAAGAUUGCUGACUCCUUGGCGCAUCGAAGACCUCUCAACUAGUCUCGUUUGGCGGGUCCAUUAUAAAAAUACUUCCAAGGAAUACUUCCAAGGCCAAAUUCUUUUUGGUUCGAAACUUUUUUCUUAUUUCAUUCUAAAUUGAUUAAAUUUUGGAGGUAGAUAAGGCUUUUUUUUUUUUUUUUUGCUCUUGAUUGCUUCUACCGUGAUAGCAACAUUUGAUAAUAGAAAUAAUUCGAUAGGACUAAAAGUAGUUGAAGAAUACAUUAUGUCACGCGUAAAAAAAGAUAACUAUAAUUGUAUUAUUGUAAUAAUUGUGAGUUUAAUAGGUAGGUCACCUACAUUUGUACUAUUUUAAUAAAUGUGUGUUGUAGAGUGAUCAAUCCUUUUUCAUCUGUCGAGAAAAAAUCAUGACAAAUUUUUUUUUUUUUUUUUUAGAUUUGCGAGCAUUUUGCACAUUUUAUCUAUCUAUCGGCCCUAUCAUCUAUUAUAUUAUCUCCUCAUCUUAUUUAUAGUAGUCCACACCACAUGGUGCGGCCGUCGUCCUCAUAAGUAAUUGACACAUAAAAAAAAAUUGAUAAAAACAUACAAAACUUAUAUCAUUUUAAAUUAGUUAUUUAAUUUUUAAAAAUUUUAAUUUUACUCUCUAAUCUUUCAGUUAAAUGCUGUUGAUCGACUCAAAAUAAAUUAAUAAUCUUAAAUGGCAAAAUUAAAAUUUUGAAAGAGAAUCAAAAUUUGUGUUGUGGAGAAUUAAUUUCUCUCUUGGCUUAAUUAGGGACCCGUGAAGGAGAGCUCCCAACAUCCGGUCUAGACUUCGAUGGGCGCGGAGUCAACAAUCGUUUUCGGUGACUCGGUCUUUACUAAACAAUCCAAGGACCAGUUGUCACAAUCAAUGUCACAGAGUGAUUCACAUGCUUUUGUCUCCGUUGCAUCAUUUAUUACUAGUUACGAACCCCGCGCGUUGCGACGGAAAGUCGAUACAAUAGUUAAUUAUUAGAACUAUUAAUAUAAUUUUUAAUAUUAUUCAUUAAUAUUUUUUAAUAAUAUUUAUUUUCGUAGCGAGUAUAUUUAGGAAAAAAAGGUAAACGGAAUCCUGCGUGUUGUGACGGGAAGUUGAUAUAAUAGUCAAUUAUUAGAACUAUUAAAAUUAUUUUUAAUAUUAUCCAUUAAUAUUUUGGAAUAAUUUGUAUUUUCGUAGCGAGUAUAAUUAGAGAAAGAAGGUAGAACAGAAAGAGAAAGCUUUUUCGCUGUAGCUAGGGCAGUAAUGGUAUUUGUGACAGAGGCAGUCCAUUAAGCGAAGGAGUAGGCACACUUCCAGCAUAAAUGAUAUCAUGUAUGCUACCAUAGUCGCUAAAUUUGGCCUAUAUUUUCAGGAAAAAGGACUAUUAAGGUAUUAGAAAAAUAACGCAUUACUGCCCUGGUCCUUUUGGUAUAUAUAUAGUAUUAAUUUGUAAUACCAUUAAUGGUCCGACUGCUAUGCUAUCGAUAGCACCAAGUAGUUGGUGCUAUCAAGUUUUCUGCCGUUAGAUUAACCCCUUUGAUUAUUUUUACCCGUUAGAUUAUACUAUUCAACCAACCACCCACUCAACCUUAGGGGGCCCACAUUAUCCUAACCGCACAUCACUUAAUCCAAUGGCCAAAAACUUGGUAGCACCAAUGACUUGGUGCUAUUAAUAGCAUAGUAGCCUAGUUCUAUAUAAUAAUAAUAAUAAUAAUAAUAAUAAUAAUUGAUUAACAAAGAGGAAGAGAGGGGUCCACUACUCCCUGUCCCUCAGGCUCCCUCAGCUGGUCCACCAUGAGCUGCCCAGCCAGUGGAUCGUGUGCAGGAUUGCGGAGAGGGUAGCAUUAGUGUUCCCAAAAUAAAAAUUUAGAUUUAAUUUAAAAUUUAUUUUACAAUUUGAAUUCAAAAUACAAUUCAAAAUUCUAAUUAUUAAUUAGUUCACAAUUAUAAAUUUAAGAAUAAUUCAGGAUUUAAAUUUAAAAUGUUUAAUUUUUAUAUCUGGAGACAAAAGUAAAAGAUGUGCAUAUUUUAGAUACAAAAAUUGAUAUAUAAAAAAAAACUACCCGCCUGCACCUGCGCCCUCAGCCGGUCGCGCUCGGCCACCCCCAUCACUCACGUGGGCACCCACACGCCGGGGCUCGCUCACCUGCCCACCCUCAUUCGCACCGAUCGCGGAGAGGCCGGCCGUACCCACUUAGGAUCGCCGAUAAAAACUUUAAAAUGAAAUUUAAUUUAUUUUUUUUUAUGCGGCCCACAACACUCGGGCUCACAUUCAUACCGGCUCGCGCCCCCGCACCCGCGCCCACUCUUGCGCACCCAUGCCCGCACGCACUCGUGAGUGCACCGCGCGAGCGCACCCGCUCGCCCACACGCGUCUGCACGACUGUCUGGGGUCGUUGCGGCGGGAAGCUAAUACAACAGUAUUUUAUUACCGUUUUUAAUAUAAUUUUUUUCAACUAUAAAAUUUUGUAAAGUAAGAUGACUUAAUUUUAAGUCAAGGCAUUUUUUUUUACUUAAAAUUAAUUGAAAAUGUAUCAAAUUUGUGCAUUUAAAAUUUUGGAAAGUAACAUGGCUUAAUUUAAAGUAUAAAAGAUUUGAAAAUUUUAUAUAAAAGAAAACAAUAAGGAAAAAACUUUAAAAUAUUGAAUAGGUUAAUAAAAAAAAAUGCACCGGGAAUUAUAAAAAAAAAAGAUAGGAAAGUACCAUGCAAUUAAUUUUUUAAAAAUUUUAUGCAGAUCCAACUAUUCCCUCAAAAUAAAGCAAGAGAUUAAACUAAUUGUCUAUACGGUGAAAACUAUUAAAAGUUUAUCUAAAAAAUAACAAAAUAUUUGUAGAAACAUGUUUAUUAGAUUCAAACACAUCAAUUAGCUUUUCAGCACGAAAGAUUGGAAUAUUUGUCGAAAUUCAUUGUCAAAAUCAAAAAUAAGUGGAAAGAUUGUGCCUCAAUAUGCAAUUAAUCUUUUAGAAAAUUAGAUUGAUCCAAUGCAAAACAUUAGAUUAAAAGAGGAAAAACCAAGAAUAAGCAAAGAACAACACAAUAAAUAGAUACUAUGAAUCAAAGUUGACGUGCAUAAUGAUGAUUUGACCCAAAUUCCCAAAGCUCAUCCCUAAAAUCCAGUAAUGCCCACAAUUCCCAGGCAAAAUAGAUUAACAAAAUGGGCAGAAAACUAUAAAGAGAUUCAACAGAAUCGGUAAUUAGCAAACUCUCGAGUUAUAUUUGUCUUGUCCACUGAACUUCAGUUAGAAUAGCUAAAUAAUAAUUUCAAACCUGUUUAACUGGAGUUUUCUUUCAUACCGAAACUUAAUCUAAAUAACUAAACAGUCCCAUAAAUUUUCUCAGCUUAUAAGCAAGCUUUUGCGAAGACCAAAGAGCCAAAACAAAGCAGAGAAAUGCCCUAAGACAAACAUAAAGCAAAAAAGGAAUAUAAAGCAAAACAUUAUGAAAUUUCCGACACAAAUGAAAUAGAUAAUCAAGAAGCUCAAAUAAGUGGGCAAGAAAGAAAAGCAACAGUCGCCACAAAGCUAGCAACCUGCCCCACAUAAAAAAGCGGGGAAAAAAUUCCAAUUUUUACAUCCGUUAAAUGCUAUUUUGCAAAUCCUAAAUUCUUUCCGAUAAGCAUAAGUUAAUACAUGAAGCAUAUACAAUCUCCACCCGUGUAUAUAUAGUUUCUACUAUGGUAAAUAUUUCAGCUUAUUUUUAAAAACCUAGAAACAAAAAUACCAAUGCAACAACUAAUACUUAAAUACAAACUUACCUGCUAGAAAUUCUCCAAGAUCAGCUUCUAAUUCCUUCAGGUGAUCUUUCAGUUCACUGAGUUUUUCUGCAUGCAACUGAAGGAAAAAAUAAAAAAAAAAUAUAUCCAAAUACACACAUUAAUUGAGAAACCAAAACAAAACGCACACACAGAACGAUCAGUACAAUUAAAUACAGCAAUGUCACGCUCCCCCGGGGUCGCCUUUGGUUUUUAAAAGCUAGCGGAAAAAGCGUCUAAUUUUUUUUUUUUUAACCUGACCCCAGAGUAUGCCAGACCCGGCCACAAAUUACACAUAUUCCCUGUUCACGCCGACAGAGUCGCCCACUGUUAUUUGCACGGCGUGCGCACAAGUACAACAGGUACAUAACAGGAUACAAACCAACUAUAAUGAAUAUAGAAAUCACCAUACAUCGUCAAUACAUUCACCAUUCACCAUCACAGAUAUACAUUCAAUGUCUAAAUAUAAAAUCAUAAAAAAUCUCUUUGAAAACUGUUCCUAGCACAGGAACGCAUUAUACUUUAAAACAGCUAACCACCGCAGGUAAGAAAACCUUUUAUUUUUACAAAUAUCCAGAAAAUCCACAUUUUCAAAAAUGUAAAGAAAAACACUGAACCACAUACACCGACUAAACUAUAUAUCAACAGGAAAUACCAAGGAUAGACAACUAAUCGAAAUAACUCUGGAGUCGGAAGCUCUAUCGCACCGCUAACGAACAGACUCAACGUCUCGUCUCGCAGAACUAACACUCUGUAUAACCGAAAAAAUGUGGGGGAAGGUGAGAAAGUAAACAUGUCUCCCUCCCAGUGCUACUGCAAGGCCGAUAGAACGGCGAGAGUACUCACCGGAUCAGGAAGAAUACGAAUCAUUUAGUAUGGUAAGUAAAAUAAGUAGCAACGAUAAUGAGACGAAUGAGAUAAAUAUUAUAUAUAUUAUAAAAGCACAACUACGCUACUGAAUUACAACUGCAACCAACAAGGAUAUCAACACUAUAGUAGCAAGACAAUGAAAGAAGUAACUCAGAAGUAUAUAAUGCACAACGCUACUAUAUGCUAUAUUGCGUCAACCGGGACGAGAAAGUCGCACAAGUACACAAUCUAAACCGCCGUGUCGUCUAACAGGACUCAGGCAAAGCCACUAUCUGCUCACACCUGGCAUGUAACCCUACGCACAAAGAGAACACGCUCAGCUCACGGGUCGGCAUUACGACCACUUUCCGUAAAAGAACACCCGCCUGCGGGGGAUCAACGCCGCUGGUGUAGUGAAAAUGCACUCGAGCUGUGGCGAUCAAGGCGGAUAUGAUUGCAAUAGCCAACCGUCGCAGACACAGUUCCGACAACACCUGCCCCUGGGCCAACGACUCAGUCGUAGGUCAUCAAGAUAACGUGAACCGACCAUGAGAUAAGGUCAAUGCUACGACAAGUAACACGACCAAAGACAAUUCACUAGACAAACCGGGAGAACCGACCAACCAGAGUCACAAGUACAUAAUCAUAAUACCAAUCUACUUAGACCCCUAUCAGAUACACACAAGAACAAUCAAGCAGAAGAAAUAAAGAUAGUAUGUAAAACUUCUCGAGUCACUAAAGUAGCGACGACGCAAGAACCGACGCAGAUUAGGACACAAUAAGUGUACGAUAUAGUUCAGAAUACUGUCAGCACCGAGCCGGAGCGGAAGGGGGCCUAACGCCCUCAGGGUACACCGACUCAAAGGUCAAUCGAAACAACAAAAUCAAGAACAGAACGCAACGUCAAUAACCAUAAAUGCAACAACACGACCACCGAGUCAACAGAUAACAGAAAAAGCACCGAUCUACUAGGUCACGCGGAAACGAAGUACGAGAAACCGACCCAAUCAGGUCACCGGAACAAAGUACAAAUCCGACCAACUCAGUACCGAUACAUAAUAUGGCUAACUCUCUAGCUCCUACACAUUGGUACUAAGCAUAGAAACAUAUUAGUAGAGAAAUAUAAACAACGGGAUGCAAGCCAAUAUAUAAUACGAAAACUAGCAUACAGAAUGAACAGGAUUCAGAAGAAUAUCACCGCGCGUGCACUACUGUAACCAACUUCGAUCGAAGUACCCACCUAUACUGUCGGCGGUUCGGAAACAUCCGGUAACGCACAAUUCGACCGGACCUACCGAGGAUUCGCACGGGUCAGUAACCAACCCACUCACACUGACAUACACUGUCUCACAAACCCACACAAACCCCGUAUCGUUCCCAAAACGCGAUCAUUCGUACUCACGGAAAGUCACGAAAACCACAAACCGGGACGCCGUCGGGGACCCACUAAUGCGCCGAACUCACGACCGUCCACGAGUCACCGCCCCAAAACUCUCAAUUGGAUGUUGGUAUAAACACAAGAUAACACCGCCUACAAUCAAGAUCGCCGACUAAUUCGUGCGAAUCGGUUCCGGAAGUCUCACUGAACCCACCGUCUCUCACCCGUCCAUCAUCACCGUACCAUUAAUGUGAAUGAUGUGAACGGCCGCCAACAGCUCAGCGAACUAGCAUAUGAGCUAACAAGCAUCGUCGGAAUAAUUCCGAAUCUCGAAACCCAGCGCGUUCCGUUCGCGAGAUUUCGCCGAAAAAACGCAUCGGAAAUCAUCUCCGAUCUUUCGCACAGGGUCUGGGGCGCUUGGAGCAAUCAGUCCAGAGGUUGUUCCCAGCCCUGACCUUGCCGCCAACACAGCUACAUACAAAGUGAACGUAUACAGAGCCACUAACGACACAUGGAAACACAUCAUUUAUGUGAUUCAUGGCUCCGACUACCGUACAAGCAAACCGGGAUCAACGAGGGGACAUCACAUUCCUAUCUUGCUUAGAUUUUUUUCAGUCAUCUGAGGACUGUCUCACGCUUUCGGGAGCACUGCCGCCGCAACAGCACCCGCAAGGCACGACGUUCACGAAUCAAGCGCGCACAAGCAUGAACAAAAUCUACCUACACCGCUAACCGGGGCAUCCCUAUCGCUCACAGAGGAGCAUUCGUGUCAUCACGAACCCACCGAUACCUCGUGGCUCACUCACUUGGGGUGUAGGGGAGGCUGGAUCAUCCUCCGGGAAGGUGGCCGAAAGCUAAGCCUACUGUGCCUGGAAUCUCAAAACAGCCUUACGAGCUAGUCAGCGGUUGGGGUGGGCCGGCCGGCCGCCGGUACAGCGGGCAGGCCGGCCAGGGGAGGUACUCAGGUCAGAGGAACCGGGCCUGAGUCAUCAUCGACGAGGCCAGCGACGACGCUGGGCAUUGAUGCCUAGUCACACUAACCCAGAGAGGACGACCCAUGGAUUCCGCGAACAGGCACUCGCGGCGAAGGUGAGCCGCGAGCGACGAGUGGCGCCCGGACAGGCGAGCCGGUCUCAUGCGAGACGCAGGCGGAGGGCGGCGGCGGCGUGCUGGGUUGUCGGCUCGGCCUGCACAGAAACUUGUGGCGGCCCGCAUGGGAAGGCGCGGUCCGUCACGGCCUACUGCGGUCGACCGAGAGGGUCGUGUGCGACUGCGAUGUCCGUCGUCGAGGAGCCCGAGGGUCGAGGUGCACCCCUCCGGGGGCAGGCGCGCGCGUGCGCGGCCGAGGUGUUCGGCCCUCUGCCCGCGCAAGCUUUGGGCCCGGAGCCGCAGGUGUGCACGAAGCGCACCUGCGCGCGCCGGGACGACGGGAAGCCACGCCGAGGUACGUCGGAGGUCCAAAGAUGGCGCUCGCAGUCGGGGAGGCGGUGGGCGCGCGCGGAAUGCGAAUGUAUACAAAACACCUUGUCCAGACUCGGCCUCGGUUGAUAGCAGGUGACCGCAGGGCAGCUGGGGCGCUCGGCGGCUUGCCGACCGCGUGGCGGCGGCCGGAAGGUCGCCGUGGGCCUUCUCCCCGCCCCGCCGGGAAGGGCGUAACUCGGCCGUCCCAAAGUGGCUGCGACAAAGCUAAGCAGGGAGCUAAACUCCUGGCACCAGAUCUGCGCUAAACUGCCGUAGCCGGGCUAGCGGGCGCGACCAAUGCCGAGGAGACGUUCGCCGCCGGGUUUCGUCGGAGUCAAGCCAUGGCAGGAUGGGGCCCAAGGUGAUGAUCCCAGGUGUCCCUCGGGCAGAGAAGAGAGGUGGAUAGGUUGAGAGCAAAAAUGAGAGGGUGCCGGUCAAUUCCGGCGCCGGCGCACACACGCAGCGUCGUGGUGAGAGCAUAGGCAAGGGCAGGCUACUUCUGAGGUCGCUAAGGGCACAGAUGGGCGAGCUGGUCGAUAGAAUCUAGGGUUUCGUGCAAAAAAACGCCUAGAUCAACAUAUAUACACAACGACAUUUCGCAACCAAAUCCCGAAACUGACAAAUUUCAAACCUAGGUCCCUCACAGGCCAUAUAAAAACCGCGACAUACUGCCCUCUAACGUGGCAUUUACCUGCAAACGGUACAUAAAUGUUCGCGACUUUGCGAAAUUACCUGUGCCCAAACUACCGACCUCUCCCUGAUCAACGCGCGCUCGUCCGCAGAUCCUCCGUCAAAAUUGUUGACGAACAUGGGAUGCACCAGUGCGAUCAACACUCAGAUACAACAAAAGCUACACCUUCGAUUCAUCUCGAUCGAGCCACCGGAUUCACAACAUAAAUCCAACCUUUCCAAUAGUAAGGAACCACGACACAAAUACAUUAUAAAAUCAUGUAUUCUUGGAAUUAUCUCGAAUUGUGUAAUCAAACUCAAAAUCCGUCAACUGCCAGUAUUUCCAGAACAACCUGAACCGGUCGAAAACCACUAUUGGACCUGAUAUGAAACGAGUCCGAUACCACCAGUACAGCCAAACUCUACUCCGUGCUCUCCGGAAAACCGAGGUUAAUAUUCACUUAAGUGAAAACUAAAAUCCGUAUCUCUCCCAUUUUAGCAUUCAGUUUCUCCUGAAACUUGACAGAGUGCUUAUGUAAUUAAAAUUACACACUAAAACAUCGUCAACAGAAGAGUUUAGUUGCACUGUCCAAAAUCUCAGUCCUUCCAUCAUCCCCCCCUUAAAAGAAUUCGUCUCAACUUGACCACGUCACUAAGUUCACGAGAAAGAAUCACGAACCAACACCACCAAACUGGAGUCUAAUUACCUAGAUCGGAACAAAAUAUUCUCGACUAGCCGACAAAAUCAACUUGCUCACCACGAGCGGAAACGAAACGUUCUCCUAAAACUCGAGUUGGUAGAAACAGCCUCUGAGACUACAGUCUCCCACUAACCGAUCACGCAACUGCCGAAGUCAAGUCCACAUCCACGGAAAGCCGCCUUUGACAUUCGACAGUCUUAGGUCCCACAACCUCGCCUUUCACCUGACCGAAAAGGUCGAAGGCUGACAAUACUAAUUGAGCUCGACAAUUCGCUUGCUCAAUUAAAACUGGUUCGACUAAACCAAUAAACUCGCCAUGCAAGUCCAAAACUUGGUGCACAGGAUUGCCAAUCGCACUAUACGAUACCAACCAUCGGUGAUGUUCAACACCUGUCUCUACGAGACCCUGUCGCUGCCGUCCUACAAGGGACCCUAGCGAUCGGUGUUUCGAGCAACACCAGAUAACUGUCUCAUUGAGACCCUGGCGCACCUGUCACCAAUUAACCGGACGAGCAUACAAUUUCAAAGUCGCACAAUAGGCUGAAAUACAAUCCUUACACAAUAUCACUUAUAGUGACAAUCAAAACCAACAACUAGGCUCAAGUCACUCAACCAAAAAUUUUGAACCUCAAGACAACAGACCGAAACUACUAAUCGACAAACCUUUUAGCUAAAAGCGAGCACAACUAAAAGCUAUGAACACCCAGACUCGAACCAAAGUCAGAACCACCUGCAGUGAUGAUAAAUCAACUGCGCAAACCUGCCAAGAGAAUCCAAGGCCCACUACGUGGUCAAAGGUGACCGAUACCCAAUCAUCCUUACAAGACUAUCUCUUUAGCUUUUCACACAAAAUAGCCUAGAGAACACAUCGACCCAAUCCAUAAGUCCCAAUGGGAAGAUGGUAUUUCGUUCCUCUUUCGACAGUAUAUUGUCUGCAGCCAAUAUACUUAUCAAAAGAAAAGCGAAAUAUCCGAAAAUCCACUACCAACAACAAGUUGGAAGUACAACGCGAUAAAGUAUCAAGCCACUUGAUACCUCUCUACUGAACCAGAAGCUCACAACCAUUACUAUCGAAACAUCGACUUUACAAGUCGGCACUCAAAAUUAGAACGACCCUGGAACAUUUCGAAUCUAGACCAACUACAAUCAACCCACAACACACCAAAUUGGGUGUUAGAAUAACCGCAUACGAUGUAUGCCUUAACGAAAACAUGACACCAAAACUGUAUCAAUCCAACUCUAGUACAUGUCAAUUGACGGAAGAACGAGAUAAAGGUCAAAAGAUCCAAACCGCUGAUUUCGUCAGCAAUCAAGGAGGAUAGGUAGGCAUCACAACCCUACCCAAAGAUCUGCGGAAGCAACACUAACAAUGCAGUCGCCUAAACGACCGCUACCAAACCCUGGGCUACACCUUAGUAGCCCCACUGAAGUCCCGACCGUAACUGGUCUAAGCACCGUCUCCGUGGAAACACUCGCAACAGCUCUCGUGUCCUAAGUAGAGAGAGUGGCCUGGGCGUCGGCAGUCAUGACACUCGCCUAGGCCCAGAAAUCACUGGCCUUUCAAGGCCCCACCUGAUAGGAAUGGCUACACCUGGGGGACGUCGCCCCACCACUCGAUGUCCGAAAAAGUACACCGCCACUACACCCGACUUAGACACCAGCUUGUGCGAACCGUAAUAUGUACAGAUACACCAUGCACUUCGAGUUUACCAAACUCGAAUGCAACCCAGGACACAAGUCCAAACCCCGCACUCACGUGCCUAUAUACCGUGGUCUUCCUAUUGGUCAACCUAACCAAUGGUUCAGUUUCAUUUACUUUUCAAAACAACCUGUGAAUGGUGUUGUGGUUGUAACCCCUUGCUCUGAUACCAUUUUAAUCUGUCACGCCCCGGGGUCCCUUUGAGUUUUAAAAGAUAGCGGAAAAGCGUCUGAAAUUUUUUUUUUUUUAAAUCCUGACCCCAGAGUAUGCCAGACCCGCCACAAAUACAGAGAUUCCACUGUUCACACGGACAGAGUCUCCCCUGUAUUUGCACGGCGUCGCACANUGAAGGAAAAAAUAAAAAAAAAAUAUAUCCAAAUACACACAUUAAUUGUAGAACCAAACAAAACCAACACAGAAGAUCAGGUACAAUUAAAUACAGCAAUGUCACGCCCCGGGGUCCCUUUGAGUUUUAAAAGAUAGCGGAAAAGCGUCUGAAAUUUUUUUUUUUUUAAAUCCUGACCCCAGAGUAUGCCAGACCCGCCACAAAUACAGAGAUUCCACUGUUCACACGGACAGAGUCUCCCCUGUAUUUGCACGGCGUCGCACAAGUACAACAGUACAAACAGGAUACAAACACAACUAUAUGAAUAUAGAAAUCACCAUACAUUCAUACAUUCACCAUUCACAUCACAGAUAUGCAUUCAAUGUCUAAAUAUAAAUCCAUAGAAAAUCUUUUGAAAACUGUUCCCUACACAGGAACCUUUAUUCUUUAAAAAACGCUACCACGAGGGGUAGAAAACCUUUUAUUUUACAAAAUCCAGAAAUCCACAUUUUCAAAUGUAAAUGAACACUGAACCACAUAAACCGACUAAACUAUAUAUCAACAGAAAUACCAAGGAUAACAACUAAAUCGAAAUAACCUGGGUCGGAAGCUCUAUCGACCGCUACGAACGUACCUCACGUCUCGUCCCAGAACUUAACACCUGUAAUACCUGAAAAAUAGUGGGGGAGGUGAGAACAUGUAAACAUGUCUCCCCUCCCAGUGGGUACCGCAAGCCGAAGAAGGCGAGGAGUACUCACCGGAUCAGGAAGAGAUACACAAUAGUAUGGUAAGUAAAAUACAGUAGCAACGAUAAUGAACGAAUGAGAUAUAUAUAUAUAUAUAUAAAAGCACAACUACCGCUACUGUAAUGUACAACUGCAAACACACAAGGAUAUCAAAACUAUAGUAGCAAGACAACUGUAAAGAAAGAACUAGAAGUAUAUAUGCACAACCGCUACUAUAGCUAUAUGCGUCAACCGGACGAGAAGUCCAAAAGUACCCAAUCUAAACCGCCGUGUCGGUCUAAGGACCUCAGGCAAAAGCCACUAUCUGCUCACACCUGGCAUGUAACCCUAGCACAAAGAGAACACCGCUAGGCUCACGGGUCGGAUGUACGACCACUUUUCCGGAAAAGAACACCCUCCUGCGGGGGAUCAACCCGCUGGUGUACGUGAAAUGCACUCGAGCUGUGGCGAUCAAUGCGGAUAUGAUCAAUAGCCAACCGUCGGCGACCAGCCGACAAUCACUGCCCCUCUGGGCCUACCGACCGUGUAGGUCAUCAAGAAAUAACGUGAACCGACCGAGAUAGGUCAAUGUACGGAAAGUAACGAACGACCAAACAGAUCACAGAUGCAAACAGGAGAACCGACCAACCAGGUCACAAGUACAGUAAACAUGAAUACCAUCUACUCUACCCCUAUACAGGAUACUACACAUAGAACAAUCAGGCAGAGUAAAUAAAGAUAGUAUGUAAAUACUUCUCGAUGUCGACUAAAUGUACGAACGCAAGAACCGACCGAUAGGACACAAUAGUGUAUCGAUAUAGUUCAGAACUACCGUCAGCACCAGCCGACAAUCCUACCCCUCAGGGUACACCGACCUCAAAGGUCAUCGAACAACAAAAGUCAAGAAACAGACCAACCCAAUACAUAAUGCAACAACCGACCAACCAGGUCAACAGAUAUAAGAUAAAAGCACCGAUCAACUAGGUCACCGAAACGAAGUACGAGAACCGACCAAUCAGGUCACCGGAACAAAGUACGAGAACCGACCAAUCAGGUCACCGAUAUCAUAUAUGGAUAAACUACUCUACUCCUACACAUGGUACUAGGCAUAGAAACAUAUGAGUAGAGUAUAAUAAAAACAACGGGGAUGCAAGCUCAAUAUAUAAUACGAAAAUAGCAACAGAAGAACAGGGAUAGAAGAAUAUCACCGAGCGUGCACUACUGUACCAACUUCGGAUCGAAGUACCCACCUAUCACUGUCGCGUCGGAACACCGGGUACGCACAAGUCGACCGGACCUACGAAGAUCCCACGGGUCAGUAACCAACCCACUCACCUGAAGUACACUGUCUCACAAACCCCACACAGAACCCCGUAUCGGUUUCCCAAAACCGAUCAUCGUAACUCACCGGAAGUCCCGAAAACCACACCGGGACGCCGUCGGGACCCACUAAGUGUCCCGAACUCACCGACUCGUGCCACGAGUCACCUGCUGCCCCAAAACACUCCAAUUUGGAUGUUUUGGUAGUAAACACAAGAUAACACCCCUACACAAUUAUCGCCGGAUAAUUGUGCGAAUUCGGGUUCCCGGAAGUGUCUAUUUCGACACUGGAACCCACCGUCGCUCACCCAUCAUCACCGAACCCACAAUGUGAUGAUGGUGACCCGCCAACAAGGCUCAGCGACUACACAAUAGCUCACAAAGCAUCGUCGGAAUAAUUCCGAACCGAACCCGCGUUCCGUCGGCGGAUUUCGCCGAAAAACGCACCGGAAAUGCAUUUCCGAUCUUCGCAAGGGUCUGGGGCCUUGGACAAUCAGUCCAGAGGUUGUCCCCAGCCCUGACCUGCCGCCAACAACAGCUACAACAAAGCGAACGGCAUACAAGUUCCUAACGACACAUGAAAUCACAUCAUUUUAUGUGAUUUCAUGGCUCCGACUAGUCGUACAAGCAAACCAGGGAUCAACGAAGGGUGACAUCACACCUGCUGCUAGAUUUCAGCAUGCCUGAGGCCGUGCUCACCUUUCGGAGCACUGCCGGCCGCAACAGCGCGCGCACGAGCGGCACGACGUUCAGCGAACAAGCGCGCACAGCAUGAAAAUCUACCUAAACCCGCUAACCGGGGCAUCCCUAACCCUCACAGAGGUGAGCAUCGUGUUCAGCACGAACCCACGAUCACCGUGCUCACCUCCUGGGGUGUCGGGGAGUCGUCGGAUCACCGGGAAGGUGGCCGGAAAGCUAAGCUACUGUGCUGGAAUCUAAAAACAGCCUUACCGGAGCUAGGCAGGGCUCGGGGUGGCCGGCGGCGGCCGGACAGCGGGCAGGCCGGCCAGGGGAAGGUACUCCAGGUCAGAGGAGGCUGGGGCUCGCGUCAUCAGUCGACGGGAGGCAGCGACGACGGCGGGCAUUGAUGCCCUAGUCACCUAACCCGAGGAGAGGACGACCCAGAUCCGGCCAACAGGGAGCUCCGGCGACAGGGAGGCCGGCGGCGGACGAGUGCGGCCGACCAGGCGGAGCCUAUGCUCACGCCAGCCGGCGGCGUAGGGCGGCGGCGGCGGUGCUGGGUGUGGCUCGGCCUGCACAGAACUUGCGCGGCCGCAGGGAGAGGGAGCGGCGGCGACGGCCACUGCGGCGACCGGAGGAGGGUCGGGGCGACGGCGAUCCGUCGUCGGAGGCCGAGGGGGUCGAGGUGCACCCCUCCGGGGGCGGCGGCGUCGUGCGGCGGCCGAGGUGGUUCGGCCUCGGCCCGCGCAAGCUUUGGGCGGCCGCAGGGUGCACGAGCGGCGACCUGCGGCGCGCGGGGACGACGGGGAGGCACGCCGGAGGUCGUCGGAGGUUCCAAGAUGGCGGCGCGGCCAGCGGGGAGCGGUGGCGGCGCGCGGAUGCAAAGAUCACCCAGACUCGGCCUGGGUGAUAGCAGGUGACCGCAGGGAGCUGGGGCGGCUCCGGCGGCGUGCGCUGACGGUGGGGCCGGCGGCGGAGGUCGCCGGUGCUCCGGGGAAGGGCGUCUCGGCCGUCCCAAAGUGGCGGCGACAAAGCUAGCAGGGAGCUAAAGCUCCUGGGCCAGAUCUGCCUAGAUCUGGCCGUAGCCUGGCUAGGCGGCGGCGGCAAUGCGCAGGGACGACCGGGCCGGCGCCGGGGUUUCGUCGGAGGUCAGGCAUGGCCAGGGGAUGGGGCCCAAGGGUGAUGAUCUCCCAGGUGGUCCUCGGGCAGAGAAGGAGAGGUGGAUAGGUUGAGAGAAAAAGAUGGAGAGGGUGGCCGGGUUCAAGUUUUCCGGCGGCCGGGCACCCGCCGGCGGUCGGGGUGAGAGCAUGGCAAGGGCAGGGCUACUCUGAGGUCGGCUAGGGCACAGAUGGGGAGCUGGGUCGAGUAGAUCUAGGGUUUCGUGCAAAGAAACCCUAGAUGCACAUUAUACACAAGGUACAAUUUCGCACCAAAAUCCACCGAAACUACAAAUUUCAAACCUAGUCCCUCACAGCACAAGUAAAACGCGCGAAUACCCCUCUACGUGCGAUUUCACGCGAAACGGUACAUAAAAUGUCGCGACUUUUGCGAAAUUACCGUUUUGCCAACACCGACCUCUCCUCAAAGAACGCGCGAUCUCCGCAGAUCCGUCCGUCAGAUUUGCGAACGGAUUGCACCAGUGCGAUCAGCACCUCAGAGACAACAAAGCUACACCUUCGAUUCAUCUCGAUCGACCACGGAUUCACAACAAAAUCCAACCUUUUUCCAAUAAAAGGAAACACACACACAAAUACAUAUAAAACAUGUAUUUUUGGAUUUUCUCGAAAUCUGUGCAUCAAACUCAAAAUCCGUCAACGCCAGUAGUUCCAGAACAACUGAACCGGUCGAAACGAGCUAUUGGACUGAUAUGAACGGAGUCCGAUACGCACCAGAAGCCAACUCUACUCCGUGGCUUCUCCGGAAAACCGGAGUUACUAUUCACUUAAGUGAAAACUAAAAAUCGCGUAUCUUCUCCAUUUUAGCUCAGUUUCUCCUGAAACUUGACGAGUGCUUAUGUAAUUAAAUUACACACAUAAACAUCGUCAACAGAGAGUUUAGUUGCACUGUCAAAAAUCUCAGUCCUUACAAGCAAGUAAUUUAUAAAAUGCCCUAGAACUUUACCUAUUGGUAACCUACCAUUAGAAAACUAAAUUUUCAUUCUUUUCUUAAUAAAGGGCAAUCAAUAUCUUUAUGAAUCUGAUAACAUAAGCUGCAAAGGACCAACAGUAUCCGCAGACACUGUAACCCUCUAAGCCCUCGGAUCAGUGUCUUUGGCGGAAAGCAUCUGUUAAAGAAGAAUGACUAUUUAGUGUAGCCAAAUAGUUAAAAAAAAAAAAAAAGAGGUUAACUAAAGUUUGGUCUUUUGCAUCGCUGAGAUUUACAUUUUAGAGUCAAAACAAUUAUCUACGCAGCCUAAGCAAUCUUAAGAAAUAAACCUGUACAAUGAUGGUCAGCCAAAAUGUAUGCAAUACACGAUAAUAAGCAUAAUAGAGAUAAAAUUAACAAAGCAUGCAACAACCAUACCUUCCUCCAUGGGCCAGACUUUGAUGAAGUUUGCAUUGGAGCCGCAGUCUGCACCGUGAUAACAAUGUAUAGAUUUCAGAGCAAGUAGCUAAAAGAAUCAUAACAUCUCAAAGAUGCAAAGUAAAAUAUUUUUGCCUUCUAGAGAGUUUAAUAGGCAUCGAGAUGUUUAAAAACAUUCUGAGAAACUUGGGAGCAAAUAUUAGAUGUCUUUCAUAUUUUCUGACGCAGUUGUAAAGUGAUUCCAAGCAAUUCCCAGCAUCACUACAUCACACAUAGUUAUUGAUGGUGGUUUUAGGAACCAAAGGAGGGUUUCCCUAAUGACUAUAAAUCAUCAAACUAAAACUUUAAUCAUGGUUUGCACAUGUGAUCAGUAAGGCAUGAAGAAAUAUAGAUCGAGUGCCCUACUGGAGAUGGAAGCAGAGUGCGUCACCUCUUCAAACUUCUCAAAGUUCUGAGUGUCCAAUUCACCAGUAACCUCAGGUUUGAAUGCAGCUUCCAUCUGAUACAGUUUAUCCCAUUGCGUGCCAUUAAACCAGGGAUGGGCCUGAAGCAAAGCAUUGGUUGCUGAUAAGCUUUGAAACACAAAUGAAAACUUAGAUAAGAAUGAGACAGAAAUGCAAAAGUUUGCACCUUUAUUUCAUGGGCUUCCUUUGUUCCAAGCCGUUGCUCAACGUUGCAUAGAAGCCUGCUAAUGAGAUCUUUAGCUUCAGGCGAAAGUUUUGCCUCCUCAGGAAAUUUCAAAUGAUUUCUCCAAUUUACAAUAUGCAAAAUGCAAGUCAAGAAAGCUUUAAGGUAACACACAAUGGACACUCUAGUCCAGCCUAUUAUACCCUACCAAUCCAAGAUAAACUUUUAUCAUAAGGCAGUUACGGAUAAAAACAUGAAGCUGAUAAAAGUAUAAAGCUGUUAAUUAAGAUUUCCCACUAAGUAACUGCCUGUAAGAAUAUAUACAAAGAUAAAUAGAUAUUUAAUCAUUUGACAAUGCAUAUUGUUUAACGGCAAAAGCGUGUUAACAACAAAGAUUUUAAUCAUUUGUCCAUUAUUUAUUGAAUUAUUCUGAACCCUCCACAAUUAGUGCGGGAACAUUGCAUUUAUUGUAGCAAAGCUCGUUAAGUUAUGAAGGUUUACUGCUUUCCCUAUUAAAAAUUGGUCAUUAGAAAGAAAUGCCAAUAGAUGAUUUCCGCAGACCAGAAAUAAUAUAUGACAUUGUACAACACUGGUGUUAUAUUUGAUGAAGAGUCAAGGAAAUAAUGUUAAAACUUAAAAGGCAAUCGAAGUUAUACAGCAUAAUCAAUACAAUCAGAACCGAAAUAUCUUGAGAAAGAUCAAUAAUCUUCUGUAAAAAGAGAUUAAAAAAGGAAAAAAAAUGAAAAAACAAAAUUGGGCGCCAAAAUUUGGAAUCAAUUUAUCAAUCAUUCUUUGCCGAGAAUUUAACAUGCCUUAAAAGUGAUAGAUCAAGCAAAUUACACCAUAUACUAUUGAAACAUGCCAAUUACUUUAUCAAACAAUACAUCAACCUAAACAGAAAAACUCGAAAAUGUUCAUUAGCUAGCGUGCACUGAUUUUCUAAAAAGGCCGACGAAAUGUUGCAGGAAUCGAGGUGUGUAGUGAAAUCGAUUACCCGCCGGAAUGGGAAACCGGUGAAGUUGUGAAUUGUCCAUCUCUGAAAGUAUGAACAAACUGUUGCGGCAGCGGAUGCUCAGCCUAUAAUUAGUUUAGGAAAGAAAAUUAAGCAGAAUCAGAAUAUAAUUUGUGUAGCAAAAAGAAAAUAAGUUGUCUUUGUUACUCAAAAUUACUAAAUAUUCAGUAUAAAUAGGAACAUAAAUGAAGGAUCAUUUAUGGCUUCUAAAUUUUGCUAAUAAACAGUACUGAAACUCUCUUACUUAUGACUGAAUGUGCGACUAAAUAUGGUACACCUCACAAAGCAUUCUCAAAUUUUGUUUUGUUUAUGUCCUGUUUUGUUCACUUAGAUUAAGAUCAACAAAAUAUCCGUAUCUCUGAGAAGAUUCUUAUGACAAACAACUUACCCAGUCACCAUCAGGGCCUGCACCAGAAACCAGAACAUUAACCUCACUUGAUUUAGCAAUUGUUAUAGAAGUCUCCAAUGAAUCUUUGCCCAGAUAAAGUUGGCAACCUGAUGUAUUGUCUAUUAAUAUUGUCGGCGCUGAGCCCUGAGAUUCAAGGGAGAAUAAACCCCAAAAUGGUAUGAUGAUAUCGGAGAUUUAAUCUAAAAUUAAUUGAAUACAAAUUGAGUGAGUGAAAUAAACAAACUUGUAUACCUCACAUUGCACCUCAACACUGUUGCAGUUCACAAUUUCACAAGCUGCAACUAUAUCCUGAGUUAAAAGAUCACACCACACUAAUUUGUCAUCACAAUACAUUAGAAUCUCAUCUAGCGGGAAAAUGUAAGCAAGAUUUUAUGCAUAAACACCAUAGUGAUCAUGCACUUACCUUAAAGAGGAUCCCCAUUUUAGUGCAUUUAUCUAUGGUUAUGUUGUUCACCUUUCCUGCAUAGAAUAAUAUGUGCAUGCAUAUACUCAAUUAGUUGUGGAAAAAAAUGAACUCUUCGGCGAAAUUUUAGCCACCAAGGAAUGGUAAUCAUAAAACGAAUAAAAUUACCCUUGACUUGCAAUACACUAUUUUUGCAUCCAUAAACAUAAACAGAUUGUUUUGCAUCACAAUCAUCAAUAACCAAGUUCUUUUCUCCAACCUGAUUCUCAACUGCCCAUCUGCCAAAGUACACAUAAUCUGGAUAGUUACACAAUUAUGUACAAAUAAUUUGAGCACAGUCUAAGAAGACAUAUUUUUCUUACUUGCGACCCAUUUGAAGCUCGAAUUUUGGUGUGCUUCUUUUUGAGAUGGAAGAACGGCCAGACACGGUUUCUUUUUCAGACGCACUAACGACACCAGCUGUGUCGCUUCUAUUCUUGCUCUUCAUGUCGUCUGUCACCUUUCUGAGACCUGAAGAGCAUGAUUCAGCAUCGUUAUUACUCCAAGCGCGUAAAUCAGAAACAUAGUGUUGAGCUUCAAAGGGCGAAAGUUCGCAUCUGCACCUGCAGUAACAGACUUCCCUGAACUUAUUUCCUGAAACACAGCAGACAUCCAUGCUUUGGGCUUAGUUCCAAUAUCACCAACGGUGAUAUUAGGAAAAUAUGAGUUCUUAUCUAAAUUUCACAAUUGAAUAAUAAACCCUGCAAUUUUAAUAUAUAUUAACCGACUAAAAUAGGUUAAAAAAAUCAUAUACAUAAUUCCCACAUUAAGCUAUGAAUCAAAUAUGUAAGAUACUAUGAAUGUCACAAUCCUUCCUUUGGUUAUAAGGCGUGCAUAUAACAACUGCAUGUGUAGAAACUCUACCCAAACUACCAAGCCAUCACUGCUUACAAUGUUAUUCAUAAUUUUUUUUUUAUUCUUGCAUGAGACCUUAAUUUUUGAAUUUUAUAUAUAGUUAAUCCUAUAUUUUCCGCAACCCCUUCUCUGAACCCGAUCGCCCCGCCUCCCCUUUCGCCGCCACUAAGAAGGCCGGCGAGGAGAUCGCCCACGCCUACAACCACAUCUGCGGCCUCUCCGUCACCGCCCUCUGCUUCUUCACCGUCAAUGGCCCCUGUGGCCGCCCCGACAUGGCCUACUUCUCCUUCACCCGCGACAUCCUCCGUGGCCGCCCCAUUAACCUCUUCGAAGGCCCCAACCACGCCCCCGUUGCCCGUGACUUCACCUACGUCGACGAUGUUGUCAAGGGUUGCCUCGCUGCACUCUCCUCCAAGAAGAAGCGUGGCCCCGGCCCCCCCGUCAGGGUCUACAAUCUCGGAAACACGUGUGUGGUUGAGCUAAAAUACUCUCAAAAGCAUGAAAGAAGAGCCGUUAAAAUAGCCAAUACUAUUGUUUUAUUUGCGAAGAAACAGAAUGACAAAAUUGUAAGGUAAUCUAACUCAUAAAUAGAUUAAAUAAAUAAAAAAUAUUCUAUAGCGAACAGUAUGCACAAUAAAAUGAAACAAUAGCAAUUCUAAAAGGAUUGCUUGCAACCAGGCGACAUCAUUUUAUUAUUAACCAUGGCAUCAAGUGAUACUCUCAUUAUUUGCUCCAUUUGACCUUGUAUAGUACAAUUUUUGCAUUUCCUGCUAUAAUCAAUAGGGGUGGUCAAAAACACAGAGUAUCACAGUGUAGAUUAUUUUCAGUAUGCACAUUUUGUAAUCUCGGUAAUUACAGAACUUAAUCCCUUAUGUAUAUAGCAAAUUUAAGUAACAACUUGAUGAGCUUGACAGACUAAUGCUAUAGUAAAGUAAGGAAAUGUAGAGAAAGCAAGAUAUUUCAACCAUAUUUUUGACCCUCCAAAAUGAUAACAUAAAAAGGUGGCCAAUGACAAAGCUAAUGACCUUGGAAACAUAGUUUAAAGAGAGUGUACUUAUUCCAUUAGAAAAAUCACAAAGCUUAAAUAGUUCUAGAUAAAGCAAACAACAAUAACAGUUAUCAUUUCCAUAAGCAAUCAUUGUGCUGGAAAGACUUCUUGCUACUGCUAGGUAAAAUUCAUUGAUCAAGUUGAUAACCUGAUUGACAGAAUCUCAUUGAAAUAAAAGUUUGUCAAAUAGUUGCCAAGUGACAAUACAUCAGAAGGCAUACCUCUUGCUUGGCACGAAAGCCCUCUAGUUUGUUACUCACAGAUACCUCAGGAAGUUUUACAGAAUUUCUGCAGGAAUCGACAGAAGAGGGACAUGCAAAAAAAAAAAAUAAAUUAAGGUACUGGCAGCAUGGGAGAGGGGUAUGGAGAGGGGUAUGGGGUGGCAGCAUGGAGAAGGGUAUGGAGGGGCGUACGGGGGGGUAUGGAGGGGGCAUGGGGAAAGGAUCCGCGCCGGCUCGCAUCCGCGCUGGCUCACAUUCGCCUGUUCGCGCCCGCUCGCCCGCGCCAGCUCGCGUCCCCCGUCCGCGCCGGCGCUCGCCCGCGCCGGCUCGCGCCCCCCCGCUGGCGCCCCAGCACCCGCUCGCCCGCCUGCCCUUGCUCGCGCCCGCUCAUCCACGCCAGCCAGGCCCGCCCGCUCACGCCGGCCCGCAUCCGCGCAGAGACUUGCCGCUCGACAAAUGCCCGCGCCGGCUCACCCGCGCCCGCGCGCCCGCUUGCUCGCCCGCGCCAGCGCCCUCGCCUAGCCGCCUCCGCUCGCCCGCGCCAUUCGCGCUCGCACCCGCUCCACUUGCGCCCGCGGCCCGCGCACCGCCACCCGCCCCCGCUCGCGCAGAACGCGGAGGGCCCCGUCGUAGAAAAAGUAAGAAAAAAGGGAAAAAAAAUAAAAUGGAGGAAAGGGGAAAAAAUUAUAAAAAAGAAAGAGUAGAGUGGGUUUGACAGGGAAAAAGAAAGAAAAAGGGGAAAAAAAAAAACCGCACACCAGCUCGCCCCCGCGCCGGCUGGCAUCCACGCCGGCUCGCCCGCGCGCCAACGCCCGCCCGCGCUCGGUGCCCGCUCAUGCUCACCCGAGCCAGCGCCCGCACGCACGCUCGGCCGCCCGCGCCCGCUCCCUUGCCUGCCCGUGUCGACUCGCCUGCCUGCGCCACUCGCGCCCGCGCCCGCGCGCUGGCGCCUGCUCGCCCCCGCUCGCGCAAAACGCGGAGGCUCCUGCCGUACCUUCUUAGGAUUCCCAAACCGCGCUCAAAAGCACCCUCCAGUAUUUAUCAUAGGCAAAGCAGAAAAGAGGGCGAGCGACGUAAAGCAGAAAAAAGAGCAAGAGAGAGCCGCCGACCACCACGCCUCACGCGAGGUGGGCUGUGAUCGCGUUAAUUAAUACUCUAUAGUAAUAAUAAUAAUAAUAUUUAAUAUUUAAUACAUGCUGACCUCCGACCGUAGGAAGAAGCCACGCCGGGCCGUACAGCCGAGAACGUGCGGUGGAGGAAAAGUCGCGGCCCACACGACCGACGGCACAACGCCACCUCCCAGACGGGACGGCGGACGGGACAGGCAACAGGGCGAGAGAAGGCGGAGAGUACGGGAGAAGGCAGACGGGACGUCGGACGGGACAGGCAACAGGGCGAGAGAAGACGGAGACCUAUCGGACGGGACAGGCAACAGGGCGAUUGAAGGCGGAGAGGCACCGCCACGAAGGCGGAGAGCAACGCCGCAUCGUACGGGGGGAUGCGACGGUGUUCCCGAGGGAGGACAGCGCUGGCGUCGCGGCUACGAAAUGAAGGAGGGGAGGACGGAGGGCUAACGCCACGCCGAGCGGCGGCAGCGGGUCGCCGCCGUACGGGAGGGCGGAGAGCGCGAAACACGGGAGGGCUCGAACCCUAUCGCACUUUCAUAAGUUCUUAUUGAUAUAUAUAUAUAUAUAUAUAUAUAUAUAUAUAUAUUAUAUAUAUGAUAUAUAUAUAUAUAUAUAUAUAUAUAUAUAUAUAUAUAUAUAUAUAUAUAUAUAUAUAGCAUGCGAGAGAGAGAGAGUGAGGGAGAAACAAAAAAAAAAAAAAGCCCAAAAACCCACAGUGAGUGAGAUAGAGAAACAAAAAAAAAAAGAAAAAAAAAAACCCCAGAGAGGUAUGUAGUAAUUUCUUUUAGGCAUUAUACAUAUGUAUUGUGUGAGAGAGAGUAUAUAUAUAUAUAUAUAUAUAUAUAUAUAUAUAUAUAUAUAUAUAAUAUUACAACCACAAAAUUAUCUACAAUUGUUAAAAAAAUUUACAUAUAUCAAUAUUAAGUUUUGAUUAUAUUAAAUGUACACUCUCUUUUAUAUAUAUAUAUAUGGGCAUUUCAUGGAUACUCCCUAAGUCUUAAAUAUCAUAGAUAUCCUUACAAAGUUUAAAAUAUCAUCUAUACCCGGUAAAUAUAGAAAAUUAUCAUCAAUACCUCUACUGUUAGUUAUGUUAGCUUUACCAUAGUUAUUAAUUGGUUAAAGCUGAGUUAAACUUUAAAAUAACUUAUUUACCCUUAAGUUUCUCUUAAUAAAAAAUGUAUGAAGACCCCUCAACUAUAUGCCAUUUUGAAACAGCUCCUCAACUUUCAUUUUUUUAGGUGAUUUCCAUUAACUUUUAGUUUUUUAAAAAAUUAAUACUAAUUUCAGUGUAUAAAAAAAUGAGAAUUUUUUAAUUUUUUGAAUAUUUUAUCAAAUCUAGUGGCUCUAUUUAUAUAUUUAUUGAAUAAAUAAUUAUAUAUAAAAAUUUAAAUAAAAAAAAAUGUUCAGGAAUUAUUCAUAUUUAAAUUCAGUUAUACGUUUGGUCUAUAUUUAAACUGAAGCUGAACCGAAAACCGAAACCAAAAACAAACCAAAUAAGAUAAAACAUACUAUAUAUAAAAUAUAAUUUUAUAUUUUUUAAUAAUUAAUAUAUAUUAAUAAUUUAAUUAAUAUGUAUAUAUUAAAUACUCAAAUUUAAAUUUACAAAAAAUAUCUUGAAAUACCUCUUAGUAUUUCUACUAUAAUAAGAGAUAAAGGUGAAAAUGGUAUUUUGAAAAUUUAACUCCGUUUCAUACAGGUCUUAACGGAUUUAACUAAGGAAGGUAUUUAUGAUAAUUUUUAACAUAUUGAAGGUAUUUGUGAUAUUAUCAAUUUUAGAAGGGUAUUGAUGAAAUUAAUAGUUUCUAGAAGGGCAUCUAUGAAAUUAUUCCUAUAUAUAUAUAUAAUAUUGUGAGACAACUCACAACAACAAAAUCAUCUGCCAAUUGCUUAAAAAAUUGACGUCAUACUAAUAUUACAACCAUAAAAUCAUCUACCAUUUGUUAAAAAAAUUUACAUAUCUCUCUCUCUCUCUUUGCCCGGAUUUGGGGGAACUGUGGGGGCACUGUGUGGCCCACUUUUUCCUCACCCUCUCUCACAAUAUAUAUAUAUAUAUAUAUAUAUAUAUAUAGAGUCUGGCUACUAUACUAUCGAUAGUACAAAGCCCUUAUUACUAUUGAGUUUUCUACCGUUAGAUCUACCCAUAUAACUAUAAUAUAUAGAUAGCGAAGAGAGUGAGAGAAAAUAAAAUAAGAAUAAAAAAAAACCCAAAACCCUACAGUGAGUGAGAGAUAGAAACAAAAAAAAGAAAAAAAGAAAAAUAAACGUACCAAGCCGAAAGAGAGAGAGGACUAAGUAAAUUUUUUUAGGCGUUAUAUAUAUAUACUUGUGAAAGAGUUAUUCAUAAAAUAUAAUAUAUAUUACAACCACAAACAUCUACAAUUGUUAAAAAAAAUUUUACAUCAUAACGCAAUAUUAAUUUAAUUAUAUAUAAAUGUAGCACUUCUCUCACUCUCAUAUAUAUAUAUAAUAUAUAUAUAUAUAUAUUAUAGAGGUCCGGGCGCUACUAUACUAUUGAUAGUAACCAAGCCUCUUGUACUAUCUAGAUUUUCUAGCCUUUAAUCUACACUGUCAUUAUCUCACCGACCUUAGAUAUACUAUUAAAUCCAACCACCCACUCAAACCUAGGGACCACUAUCAUCCUACGUUCUCCAGACGAGCGCCUACGACCGCACAUCCUUCAUCCAACGCUAAAACUCAAUAAAGUGACAAAGGGCUUGUACUAAUAAUCAGACAUAGGAGCAAGUAAUCUAUAUAUAUAUAUAAUAUUAAAUAACAUAUUAUUAGAUUGUGAGACAACUCACAACAACAAUAAUCAUUUGCAUUGCCUAAAAAAUUAACGUCAUAGCAUAUCUAAUAUUACAAACCAUAAAUCAUCUACAAUUUGUUACAAAAAUUUACAUGCAUAUCAAUAUUAAGUUUGAUUAUAUAUAAAUAUACACUCUUCUCUCUCAUAUAAUAUUAAUAUUAUAUAUAAGUAAAUAUAUAUAUUAUAUAUAUAUAUACGAGUACGCCGCUACUACUAUCAGAAGCAUUGCGCCUUCCAUGCUCACCCUCGUUUUCGAUGUUGCGACUUUCGAAUCGUCGAUCGGCUCAAAGUAAAUGAUCUAGAAGUAUUGAAGUACUAGAAAAAUAAAUUUUAUUAUUUUUCAUAUCAUUUGCCUAUGUAAACUCGAAUGCUCAAAUCAACGAAAUUUCAAUGGCCGUGAACUGAGGUCCGCUUUGCAAGUUUAGACAAGAUUAGAAAAUUAGAUAGUCCAAAUCACAUAAAAUUAUUGAUAUACCAAAUUUUUUAUACUUAGAUAUAAAAUCAAGAUCCAAUAUCUUUUGAUUUAAAAUUUAAUAGUCAUAUAAUCAUUUACAUUUGUAAGAUUGUUUAUUCAGCCGUUGAUUUAGAGCCGCCUUUCGUUCACAUAGCAAAUGAUAUCUAAAAUCAUAAAAUUUAUUUCUUAGGUAUUCAAAUACUCUAGAUCAAGUUUUAACAGGCCGAUCGACGAUUCGAGAAGUCGCAACACGAAAAACACUGGAAGCAUCAAUUCGGUUGCUGUCGUGGGCUGUCGCCUCCGGCUCGGAAAUCGUCCAUGCUCUCGAUUAAGACAUACGUAGCCUCACUUAUAUAUAUAUAUAGAUAUAUACAAUAUAUAUAUAUAUAUUAUCAUAAUAUAUAUUGGAUAGAGAGGGUGGGAAAAAUGGGCCACACAGUGCCCCCGACACGUUCCCAACCCCAAAUUCGGUGCAGAAGAGAGAGAAGACAGAACUAGAGAUGUAGCAAAUUUUUACACAAUUGUAGAUGAUUUAGGUUUAAAUAGAAUUAUGCGAAGAUCAACUUUUUUAAUGCGCUAAGUUGGCAAUGCUUUGUGUUGUUGAUUGUCUUCACACAUAUAUAGUAAUUAUAUACUACAUAUAUAUAUAUAUAUAUAGUAUAUUGAGAGCAGAGUGUAAACAGUUUAUAUAUGAUGUAAAUUUUUUUCACCCAAUUGGUCCGAUGAUUUUGUGUUGAAUAUUAUAAUAUAUAAUAUAUACUAUCUAGCUUCUCUUACGACACUAUAUACUGUAUAAGGAUGCAUAAAAGAAAUUACUACAUACCUACUCUCUCUUUCGGUGACUUUUUUUUUUCUUUUUUUCGUUGUUUCUCCCUCUCUCACAUCGUGGUGUUGUUUUGGGUUUUUUUUUUGUUUCUCCCUCACUCUCUCUCGGCAUACAUAUAUAUAUAUAUAUACUAUAUAGAAUUUGGCUACUAACUAUCUAUAUACGGACCCCUACUAUACGUGUUGUUUUCGAUCUUGCGUCAAAUCAAUGAUCUCUACACCAGUUAAAUAUGAUCUAGGGUGCCAUAGAUUGAAAAUAUAAUAUUGUGAGACCACCGCUCACAACAAAAAUCGCGAAAACAUACUUGCCAAGGGCUGCUUAAAAAAUCGACAGGUCAUUCAACCUAAUAUUUAAUCAACCAUAACAUUUAUAUACUAUGUAAAAUUUUUUAACAAUUGGUAGAAUGAUUUUUUUUGGUUUAAUAUAUAUAUAUAUAAUAUAUACUCUCUCAACACAAUAUAUAUGUAUACAAUGCCUUAAAAAAAGAUGUACUAACAGGUCGAACUAGCCUCUCUCUCUUCCGGUGCCUAUCUGUUUUUUUCCUUUUUUUUUUUUGUGUCUCUCCCGCAUCACUCAACUAUGGUUUUUGGUCUUUGUUAAUAUUUUUUAAUUAAUAAUUUUUAAUGUUUACUCCCAUGCACCCUGCGGUCGUCCAAAUCGCUAUGUGCAUAUAUAACAAAUAUAGCACAGUAAAUUAGUAUAUACAUAUAUAUAUAUAUAAUAUAAUAAUAGGCCUACUAUUACUUAUCAUAUGUACGGCGAGCCCCAUACAUAGGUUGUUUUCGAUCUAAGGGCGUUCAAUAUCAACGAUCACACACCGUUAAUAUGAUCUAGGUAUAUAAACAACCAUAUAAAUUUGAGAUUUCUUAUUGCCUGUUGUGUGUUUCGCUUGGAACUCUACAACAGCAAAACAUGCUGCCAUUGCUUAAAAAUCGACACUCAUACUAACUAUUACAACAUAAAACCAUCUACUGAAUAUUAAGGUGUUCUCCAUCUCAUAUAUCAUAUAAUAUCCGUAAAUCAAUAAAAAUGAGAGUGCGGCUAAACUCAUGCUACUUAAUUUUAGCAACGAAGCACUUGUGCUACAGUUUUCCGCCGCUAGAUUUCCCUUUUGAUUAUUUUCACGACCGUUAGAUCAAUACUAUCAACCAACGCGCCCACGGUUCAACCCAGGAGCUGCCACAUCAUCCUAACGCGCGACAUCUCUUAAUCCAAUGGCCCAAUAAAGUUGGUACGCGACAAUGACUUGGUGCUAUUAAUGACAUAGGUACCUAGUUCAUACUAUACUAUAUUUUAUGAUUUAAUAAUUAUUGUUUUUAGAGGUUGGUGGAAAAGUGGGCCAAGUUGUGAUCAUGCCCUACAGUUCCCCCAAAUCCUGGAAGAGAGAAGAGAGAGUGUGUGAAGUUUUUUUUUUUUUUUAUGCGGAGCCCUCCAAAAGGAACCCUUGGACCCGAAGGGCUCCAAGGAUUUCCCCUUGCACUAGUGAGGCGCCCGCUCCGGAGGGGAAAACUAGUAAUUUUAAAAUAUUAAAAAUAUUUUUAAGUUUUAAUUUUUAAAUCUAAAUUAAAAUUUAACAUAAAAAAAUUAAAUAUAAAAAUCAUAUAUAUUAAUAAAUAUAUAUUUAUAAAUAAAAUUAGAUAUAAUAAUAUUAGAGUUAAAAUAAAAUGAUAAAAUUUACCUAAUUUAUCAAAUUAAUCAUCUAAUUAGUUGUUUAAAAUAUCCCUGCUCUCUCGGCUCCUCGAAAUUUUCUAUCUCUUCCGGUGUCCUCCCGACAAGUCUACUCGAUUCCUUCUCUUUCUCUUCUCUCAUCCGCCGUCGCGGGCGCCUCGUAAUCCUCUCCUCCACUUCUCGCCGUUGGCUUAUUCGCCGGCCGCCGAAAACCCUUCCGUUCCACUGGGCCGCGCGGCGCCGACGUCCGCGGGUUUCUUGGCCCGCCCCCCGCCAAGCGUCGGAACGCGCGCUUCAGCGUGGAAAGCUCUCCAGCAAGGCCGAAAAUGUUGCUGACGGAAUAACGCAACAAUCAGGCGGCGUUCGGUCCUGCCGCGCAUGUGAUGCCUUGCCCUGCUCGACCGUGACGAUUUGCGACUUCCACGCGCUCUGCUCGUCGAAACGAUCUCAGCCCCGCGGCGGGCCGCCUGCUGCGAUGAUCGUCGCGUUGCAGCUUGGAAUGGCGUUCGCGCGAUUCGGACCUCGGUCGAACGCUCGACGUGCUGCGAUGUAACUGCCUCCGCAACAACGGCGGGGACGGAUCUCGAAUCAUUCUCGUUGACGAUUGUUGAUCCCGUUUCCUGACGCUGUCGACAGUCGGCGAAUGGCCGGUUCCGGAACGCAAGCGACACCCGCGAUAACAGGCUUGCAGAUUCCCGAAGCCCGAAAUCCCGAGCGAGCAGGUGAGCUUCAUAUAUGGCCUGGUUAUUCCCUCAGCUUGAUCGCCUGAGGAAUCCAAGCCGCCUGCAUGACAUGCCCGCCCGCUGGGGGGUGCGAAAUAGAUCCGGGGGGGGGGGGGGGGGGGAGGGGGGAGGGAGAGGUAAAGAGGCCCCUGCGACCCCACUCGCCGGGGGGCUGUCGGCGCCCACUGGGGUGGAUCGUAAACAGGAAGAAGGGAAGGGGGGUUAGCCGACAGAGGGAAGAGAGAGUGUAGAAAAAAGGAGGGGGCUAAAGGGAGAAAAGGACAGUAGAGAGUUAGAGAAAGAAGGAGGUUGGUUCCGUUGCGCAGAGAAAAAAUUGCCGGCAACCCGCCGGCGAGAGUCGCAUCGCGCGUGGGGAGAGCCAGAGGAGGGGGAGAGAGACCACGGGGAGGAGAGAAGAGAGAGUGCGAGAGGCGCGGAGGUGGGGCCCAUAGUGGAGAGGAGACAAAGGGGGGAAGAGAGAUCGAAGAGAGACAUUCGUCAUACCGCGGAUGGGGGGAGGAUGGGGGGUGAAGAGAGAGGGGGCUGGGGGUGAAAGAGAGAGGGGGAGACGAGAGUGAGAGAGAGACCCCGGGAAUGAGGGGAAGGGGCCCCGCACGCCCCCCUCCUGUCCUGCAUAACUCUGCUCUCUCCUCUUCUUUCGCUCCCAGUCGCCACGCCCGCCGCCCGUAGCUCCACGGAGACUGUCUGUCGCAGAGCCCGCGUGGUUCCCGCCCCGGGCUCCAGACCUCCACCCUCGCUCUCUCUCUCUACUGUUCUGCUCUCUCUCUCUCAUCUAUUCAUCUCUCUGCCGCCGAAUCCGGCACCCCUCUCGUAUUGAUCUCUCUCUCUCUCCCUGUUCUCGGAGAAUUAUCUCCUCUCUCCCCCAUUUCUCCUCUCAACUCGAGGCCCCCGCAAACACGGAGAACGACGUACAAACCUCAGAUGUAUAUAUAUAUAGAUGCUUGUAAUGAUUCGUUUUUAUUAAUAAUUUUUUAACUCUCAGAUUUUUAUAUAGUUAAACUAUUCUACAUUUACUCGGAAAGUGAAUCAAAACUUUUAGUUUGAGAAGCUAUUCUAUUAAAUAAAUUUUUUCUACUCUAAAAAGUAAAAUGAAGUUAUUUGUAAUUAUACCGAAAAUAUAUGAUGUUGUUUUUAUCUUAUUAAGAUGAGUGAAAGAGAAAGAAUAUUAUAUUCACCCUAGUGUAAUUAAAUAAAUCAUACAUCAUAACUUAUAUUAAAGAAUUUAUUUUUAAUACCAAGUCCUAGUAACUAUAUUAAAUUAUUAACUCUAAUAAUUAAAUAUAUUUAUUGAAUUAAAAUUUUAAAAUCUCUAUCAAACAAUUUUAAGUAUGUGGUGUAUGUUCUAAUAUAACACCUGAGCCUGUAGAAAAAAAAAAACAGACUCUCCUUAGAGUGCACUCAAUUCCAAGAAAAAAAAAAGGAAAUAAUUUGGUUGCACUUUAAAAUUUUCACAGAAUUAUUUAUACAACCGUAAAAGUAUAAUUAGAUAUUGAUAAAAUAUAUCAGAUAAUUAUAUUUGAAAAUUAGAUACGAUAUAGUAUAUGUAAUAUAAAAUACACAGUGCAAUAGUCCGUUCAUCAAAUUCCUAUUAGAUUAGUGUGAGCAUCCCAAUUGUUGUUCGCUUUUACUGACAUGAUUCUUCUAAAAUACUAUCUAAUCCAUAAAAAAAGAAGAAUCUUCACUUGCACCCCGCUGUAUACAAAUUCGUCACCGCAACGUAUAUUUAGAUGACUGAUAGAUAAAUAAUCGAUAAUAAUAUACAAAAUAAAAUAUAAUAUUAUUAAUGCUAAGAAAUAUUUAAAUAUUUUGUCUGUAUUAUAGAAUUUAUCUUUGAUCCAUAUUUAUAGUUCGAUUCUACAGUACAAGGACAAAAAUGUUAUGGACAUACGGAACAACUUUAUUGGCUCAUGCGCUCAUCAAGUGAAAGAUUGUGGCUCAUUAAAUAAAGUAUUUUUUUUGAUGUGAUGGAACUGCUCAAAUUAAUAACUUUAUAGACAACUAAGCAAUAAAGAUUCAUUGGGCCUAUUUUCAACAUUUCCUAUAAUAAGGCCUCUUGUCACAUCAUUCAACCUAAGAAUAAAAGAAAAUACUAAUUAAAAUAAAAUGAAAAAGAGACUUCUCUACACUUCCAUCAACUACCUAAAGAAAGAUCGUGUAAUUACGUAGUAAGAGCACAUGAGCAAGGAAAGAGCUGGCGGUGGCCGAAGCAGACGAGACGUUGACACUAUUGCGAAGCAGACGAGCAAAGGAAAGAGUUGGCAGUGGGAAGAUGGUGGAGAUCGAAGUCUCUGGAAGGCGGCAACGUCCUCGAUCCCUCAGUUUCUCUAAAGAAGGUGGCGUCUCAUUGCCGCAUAGAACACGAAUAAGAACCACGCAGAAAUCACCCUCUAAGUUUGGAUCAGACUGAGCAGAUGUUUCUGGAACUCAAAAAAUCAUUGCUGACAACACGCAUUAAAAACAGGCCACUACCUCAGAAAAUUCGCAUUGAUGCGAACUUCUCUCAAGAGGUGAUAUGGGCCCGUAUGCUGGCGGGGCCUCACUUUAACUCAAUCCGCCCUUUUUCGCUGCAAUGAUCCUCCUUUGGGAACAUUUAUUUCCCCGACUCUCGAAUCGAAAAAAAGAUUCGAUUGAGGAACUUUUUUGGGCCCCUUUGCCGAAGUCACUACAGGAGUAAAAGUUCUUUCUUAAGUCCACCCUAUAAAAAACUUACAGGGAAGCCCUAUUCACUCCCACUCCACUCUUCCAAACACCGCUCACAGCUUCAGAGCCCCCUCCCUUUCCCACAUCCUUGGACAAAAACUUCUUUCGAGGUAGGUGCUUUAUAAGUGCUUGGAAACACACUGGGCCUCCUAUUGUAGUAAAACUAUUCGGGCGCUCAGGUGCUUCAAAACAGGGCAAAAGUCCUUCCUGAUCAACUUCGAUGAACAUUUACCAAUGCCAUGCGUGCCCGUACGACUUACCUCAGCGCCUCUCCAUCCCCUCUCGAAGACUUCUUUGCCCAGACCAAAAACCGAAUUCCGUGCAAUGCGAUUCCCCUCGUUGAUGUGUUCCUCCCGAACCUCGUCACUGGCCCUAAGGGCCAUUUCUCGGAUUGCCUAACUAAUCGCCUUCGGAAGCUACCCUACUGAUUUCCUAUUUGCUUCAUAUGGCAAAACAAGCAUUCACGAUGUUCUUUCUCCUGAAUGGGUCUAGCGAGCCAUCUAAUCUGCAGGGAGAUCCUCGUUUCUGGGUCGCACAUCUUUAUGUUCGCGGGUGGAAUCCCUAUUGCAAGACUUGCAGCCCCACUGACUCUACAAUUGGAUGGCCGCCCGGCUCUAAGGCUAACUCUCUCCCUCUACCGAGCUGCUGGUCCUCCACUUUGUAGCACUCUUGUCGGUGGUUUCCGCGCAGUUCAUCUAGGACAGGUGGGAAGAAUUAGCAUCCAGCCAGCUGAAGCAUGGACGAUCCGAUCCUUUCCGGUUAAUCGUUUUGAUUGCGUGAAUCAAUCUUAACCCGACAUCUCCCGAGAACCUAGAGAUCACCUUCGCGAACUUACUUAAUUCGAUACGAUCCAACUUGAAGAUGGGCCCGUCGGCCAACGAAGAUGGACGUGGAAAUCCAUUCCCCAUCACAAAUGAAGUUUGGUCAACAUAAAAUCGAACCGCGAGAUCAGCGAGGUUAAUCCGCCAUUUCAUAUCCGUCUGGAAGCAAAGGGAGUUUUGACCAGACGGAUGCUUCUACUGGCUCGACGAAUUCUGAAAUUCUCUGAAAUUCCCAGUGGGGCGACAUCACGCCAGUAGACGCCGACUGAUUUUCGCACACAAGUAGCGCCGUCCGGCAAUGCCGACUUGUCGCGAUACGAGCUUGUCACUCGUCAGCAUAAACCGCGCGACCGUUGAUGUGACAAAGGUCCGGCCUUUUACUUUUCACAUCAAAUUCCGCAGAGAGACUAGGAUCUUCCAUUUCAAUGAUUACUGAUCCUAAGAAAGGCUAAGUAUAGCCCGCCAGCUCGCUAAAAUGUGCUUAUCUUCUCCCCAAACCUCAUGCUCCAAACUUUAAUGACUUAAUGCCACAAUGCGCCGUCUUAUACAAGAAUGCUGCGCAGGAACCAAGCCUCGGAUUUUGGAUCCACUAGUGAUUUCAAGUAUGAAAUGCCGUGGAAUACAUCUGAUAAUAAGCUGGAAUUUUACUUUUGUCAGCCGAUAUUCCUUCCUUUAAAGCUUAUUUCCUCGCACGCCCUGUGUUUAUCCCUUGCUUCGAACCGGAUAAAGGAUCCCAUAAUUUUGGUUCCCAAUUUACUAAUGGUCUACUCGCAGGUCGCUCUCCACACGACAUUACCUUGUGUGCUCGUAUCCUUCAGCUGGGCUUGAAUCUUUUGCCUAUCGAAUCAAAACCACCGCUAAACCUGACACCCUAACAAAUGAACCCUGAUUGUUUGUCUGAAGGGGCUCAUCGCAGGCAUGUCAAGCCUUUUUGGUCCUGGAUCCUAUGCAAUUCUGUAAGAAUGCGUGGGCCUCAUUUUUUGUUUUUUUCGUUUCUCACCAGGGAUGCACAUCUGAUAUUCUCCCACUCAUUUCGCUGCNNNNNNNNNNNNNNNNNNNNNNNNNAGAGAGAGAUAUGCUACGUAUAUAUUAAUAGUAUCAAACCUUGGUACUAUGAGUUUUCGGCCGUUGAAUGAAGGAUGUGCGGUUAGGAUGAUAGUGGUCCCCAGUUAAAUUGAUAGUGGUCCUCAAGGUUGAAUGUUGUGGUUGGUUAUAAUAGUAUAAUUAACGGGUGAAAUGAUCAAAGGGAUAUAUAUAUAUAUAUAUAUCUCUCUCUCUCUCUCUCUCUCUCUCUCUAUCUCUCUUUAUAUAUUCUCUAUAUAUAUAUAUAUAUACACUCUCUCUCACACAAUAUAUAUAUAUAUAUAAUGCCAAAAAAAAUUAGUACAUACCUCUCUCUCUCUCUCAUGUAUAUAUAUGUAGCUCACUCUCUCUCACAUCUCUCUCACAGAUAUUCUAUACCUCUCUCUCUCUUACACACACUUAUAUACCUCUCUCUCUUCUCUCACUUUUUCUCACAUAUAUUAUAAACCUCUCUCUUUCUCUGACGUGUACCUUUUUUUUAAAGAAAAAACUCUCCCACGCACACUUUCUCUCUCUCAGACACUUACUCUCUCCUCUCUCUCUCAGGUAGCCCUCUCCGCGAUGGCCGCGAGCGGGGGCGGGCCAGCGCUGUGCGAGCCAGCGCGGGGGGGCGAGCGGGCGUGGGUGGGCGGGCACGAGCCAACGCGCGAACUGGCGCGGACACAAGCCGGCGCCGAGUGGGGUUUUUCCUCUUUUUUUUUCCCUCUUUUUUUCCUGUAAGAUCCACUCCUCUCUCUCUCUCUUUUUCCUCUUUUUUUCCCUUUUUAAACUUUGAAUCAGGAUUCUAAGGUGGUACGGCAGGGCCCUCCGCGAUCAGCGCGAGCGGGAGCGGGGGCGGGCGAGCCGACGCAGGCGGGCGCGGGCGCGGGCGCGGGCAGGUGAGCAGGCGAGCGUCCGCGGGCGCGGGUAAGCGCGAGUGGGCCCGGGCGUGCGGGCGUGAGCCAGGGCGUGUGGGCGCGAGCCAGGGCGGCGCGCUGCCGCGAGCCGGGGCGGAUGCGACCCAUCUUUGGAAAAAAAAAAGAAAAAAACAUAGAGGAAACAGAAGUCAAUGUGCCCAUACCUUAGCCCAUGCUUCUGCUCUGAUGCUGACCCCACAUCAACGGGUUUGGAUCCGGCCAUACUAUCGUACAUCCUCCCCAUCCUCCCCAAUCCUUUUCCUGUGCUCGCUCUCACCCUUUUCCCCUCUUUAGUCAUUUUCUCCGUCCUCUUUGCUAUUCACCUAAGCCAACUUCCCCCGUAAUCCCCUCCUCUCCGUCCUCGGCGUCUUCCUCGCUACCCCUCUUCUCGCCUUAUUUGCCGCAUGGCACCACCUCCGCCACCGACCUCCUUUGGUAGCACCUUUGUGCAGGUAGACUAAUGAAGCGUCGUUGACGUUGACUGCCCCCUCAGCUAUGCCUUUCUACGUGCUCGACAAGAAUGGCAUCGUCACUAUCACCGACGGGGCGCUCCAAAAUGCCGCUCGGCUCCUCAACAUGGACAGCAUCGGAAUGGCUAUGCCUCAAAGAAAACCAUGGAGUUCUUCUUUCCUUGGUUUUUUUUUCUCAUUUCUUUUCUAUGGAAGGGAACAAAAAAAAAUUGUUAUUGUGCUUCUAACAUCAAUUUCUUUACUGCAGCUCCAGAAUAUAUUGUCGGAACCCGUGGCUAUGCGGCUCCAGAAUAUAUUGCUACAGGUUAUAUUUCGACUCAUCCUCAAAUUAUGCAAAAGCAGAUAAAUAUGAAUGUUUACGCUCGCUGUUAUAUAUUUAGAAAGUAUACAAGUUGAGGUGGUAACAUAUUACAUCAGAAAUAAAUAGGACCCGAUUUUGAUGACAGGGUCGGUUAGAAAGUAUACACGUUGAGAUGGUAACAUAUUACAUCAGAAAUGAACAAAGCCUGAUUUCGAUGAACAGGGUCGGUUAGAAAGUAUACAAGUUGAGGUGGUAACAUAUUACAUCAUAAAUGAAACACGGCCCUAAAUGAACACGGCCCGAUUCCGAUGAACAGGGUCGGUUAGUGAUAACUUAUUUCUAACAAUGUUUACAUUUUUCCGCAAGGCCACUUAUCCGUGAAGAGCGACAUAUACAGCUUUAGUGUAGUGCUAUUAGAACUGUUAUCUGGAAGGCGAGCACUGGAUGAAGAUCGGGGAUCCCUAAGCGGGUACGGUAGAGCUCUCCGCAAUCGGCGCCGCUGCGCUCUCCGCAUUCGACGGGUCCCAUCGUUGACUGUGAGUGAAGAGGGAUUGCGGGGCUCACCGGUGUUCCUGCACGCGGUCCAUGGGAGCGGGUGUAUCUUAGUGGAUUGGCAGAGGGAGAUGGUAGUUUGAAUAUUAACUGGUGAAGCUUUUUACUGUAUAUAUAUAAUGCCAUUUAAGAUUAUUUGUAUUGUAAUUUUAAUUUUGACUAUUAGCUUUCUUUACAAUUACAAGCUUUAUUUUACUUUUAAAUGUCGCUUAUGUAGCUUUCUUCAGCAACUUGUUAGGUUUUAUUUCCUUCUGCUUCAGUCAUAAGGGAGCUUGACUGCAUGAAGCGGCAUGAAAACUUCUUUAGAAGGCCAUCUUCAAAGGCUUCUUCAGCACUACAAUGGAUUGAAGAAUGUAUGGAAAAUACAAGUUGGUGGCUUUAUGUCCAAGCUCUCUAGAGACUAAACCAGUGGCACCAACUCCUCCUAUAACACCAACUUUGCAAUUCAUUGAUGGAAAUAAUGAACUCGGGGCUAAGAUCUUUAGCUCCAUGUCUUUCUCAAGAUAUGGAAAUUUCAUGGAUAUUGUUUCUCCAACAGCUAAGGAUCACAUUCUAGAUUAUGCUCUCCUAUUCAAGGAAAUUAGGAAAGAUGGACAACUUAUCAUUCUUUCUAGCAGCACGACUCUCAAAAUCAAAGCCAUGGCAGAGGUAAUAGUAUGCCUUAUUGUUGUUCAGUAAUACUAUACAGACCUCGCUUGAUAUAUUGCUAUUUUGAAUUGGGUAACCUAACUUCAAUAUUCUGACGUUAUUAUUAAACUUUAGAAUAUAUGUGAUUUAAGUACUUUUCCAUCGGAAUUUAAAGGUCAUUACUUAGCAAAUUACUUAUAUAUUAGCAACCGAAGGGAGGUAUUUUUUACCUUUCUUAGAGUAUAUUCAAAUGGAUAGAGUGGCAAAAGAAUGACCGUUGUCUUUUUGUGCUGUGUGCAGGGGCAACGCCCGCUUCCGCAUCUCCUCUCAAAUGCCAUCCUCUUUCACUGCCUCAUCGGACGUCCAAUUUGAGUCCUUCAUCAUCAGCAUCAUAAGCUCCCUCCCUACAUCACUCUCCCUCUGAUCUAUUCUUUUUGAUUGGAUCCUUCUUAUCUGUGAUUCAUUUUGAUCGCGAUGUUGGGGUUGUUUACCAUGCACGCAAACUGUUCGAUGUAUUGUCGCUUGCAAUUUUAAAGGUAUUUAUAGGUCCUAAUCAUUGUUAACAAUAUAUAUUUUUUUAUUUAUUUGUAAACUGUUUGAUAUAUUGUCACUGCCGACUUUAAAAAUCUUUAUAUUUAUAGGUUCCUAAUCAUUAUUAACAAUAUGUUUUUUUGUCUUUUUAUUUGUUAAUUUUAAUAAAAGUAUGGUAAUGUAAAUUUAACUCAAAAAUAAUUUCAGUUGGAAUAGGGCAGCAAAAAAAUUCCUGUGUUUUAUCAUCAGCAUGUUGUUUUUCUUUGUUUAUUUGUGAACUUCCUCCCUCUUUUAUACAUAAAAUAAGAUGUUGAGCUGAUUAAGGAUGAAUAUCCCAACUAGAGUUUAGUUGAAACAUAUAAAAUUGAAUAUUUGAUCAGACUGCUUUUUUUUUAUUUAUGAAUAUCUGAACUACUAUAUGAGUUAAAUUUUUACGUGUCGUAUGUAUUUAGGCUUUUUUUUUUGCGUGAGUUCUUUAAUAAGUCUUUCAGGAGCAAAAAGUUGAAAAAGCACACAAGCUCUCUAUUAUAAUAGGCGAUCUUGAGUUGCAACUGAGUAAAGAGCAAGUAAGAAUAUAAAAGGUUUUAAUUUUUAAUAUUUAUAUUCAAUUUAGAAAAUAUGACAAAACAUUAUAUAGCGCUUCAAGAUAAAAAGAUAAUAAUAUUACUUUGCAUUUCUUUUAAUUGUUUACUUUGUAGGAGUACUUUGAAAUUGAAAAAGUUUAAUUAUUAAAGUCAUAGGCAUAAAGCACAACAGAAGCUAAAAAGGUAGGUUUCAGUUUUUUUGUUUAAGAAAUGCUAUUGUCUUAUCAUUACUUCUUUUAUGUUUUUUUAUUCCCUUGAAAUUUUCAUUUACUUUUGCACCUGGUUGAUUUAUAUUUAGUUUCUACUGCUGUGGUGAUUGACAUUUGGUAAAAUGAAUAGGUCACAAGCCCGUCUUCAAAAGUUAGCUGAAAUGUUUUAUUCUGAAGCCAUAAAACCUGCAAAUGAAGAAUAUUCGAGUGCAAAUGUUCAUUAUCACGGUGGAUCAAAUGGUGAUUAUCAAAUAAAACCAAACAAUGACCGGUUGCAGAAUCUUUUUCUUUUUUUUUGCAAGAAAAGAUCUUUGGCCUUUUCUAUCACAAAUGAAGAGGAAAAAGCAGGUGAGUCCUUAAGCAAUUCCUAUGUACAAGAAUUUUGGAUAUUUAUAAGAUUGUUUUCUUAUGGACUCAGUUUUUUAUUUUUGAUUUCUUUUUCUUAUACAUUAGGACUGCAACUUUUUAUGAGUGACUGCUCCUUCUAAACUAUAAAUAUAUGCUUAUAUAUUUUAAAGACAAAUUUACAUUAUUGUUUAGCUAAUUUUCAGUUAGUUUAGGUUUGUAGUUUUGGUACCAUAGAUGUUCAUUUUAUUUUAAUUGUUUGCUCAAACAUAUAAGACUUUGCAUUUUACAUAAUUCUCUUAAUAUUUUUGCGUUGUUUGCUAAGCACUGAAGAGGUAGUUUGUCCUAAUAGUUGCAAAGUGAGCUAAAUCAAUACUACGCCAGUUUGUUGCAGAAUUCGUGGCUUCAGUUUUUAGAAUUAUUCAUCUAUUUCUCUAAUUUCUUUCACAAGUACUUUUUUGGCCUAUUUGGAAUAGCUUUCUAAAAGUUUAUAAACAGCUGUUGGCAUGAUCAGAAAAAUAAUAUAUUUAGAUCAUGCUAGAAUGGUAAGAUAUUCUUACCAGAUUUUCUUUUAUAGGGUACUACAUUUUAUGGUUUUUUUUCAAGUAGAAAUAAGUUGUUUUGUCUUUUAAAUUUCAUAGCAAUCUUAAUUUUGCUUUCAAUUUCAUUUUAGUUUCUAAGGUUUCAAUUUUAUAGCUUCCAUGAUUUUUUUAUUUAGAUUCCGAUGUUAGUAUAUAUAAAAAAAAAAACAUGUUUAAAUGGUGCGGCUGUGUCAACAACUCUCUCUUUCAGUGCCUUUUGCCACCCGGUACGGACAAUAGCCCCAUUGGCUCAAAGAGGUUCAUGUCAAAGUACCAUUUUGGUUGAUUCUUUACGCAUGAUUGAACAUUCUAACCCUAUCGUUUAUUUCAAAAUUUAAAAGAUUAUAAUCAUUCUGACAAUAUUUUGCUUGCUUUCAGAGACUAAUAUGUAAUUCAAUAGAGACGAUAAUUUAAUAAUUUUUUUUCUAAGUGUAACUUACGAAGUAAUGUACGUGAUCGACAAAGUUUUAACCAUGGUGAUUUACCAAAUCUUUUUUCCUUUUGUACGGAACGGUAAGAGCACGCUCGCAUUAUGUGUGGAAAUUAUGCCCUCCACUUUUUCUGCGUCUGUACUUUUUUUGCAAAUCAUAACGCUGCAGUCGGUGAAAAUUGAAUUGUUCAAAUUGAAUUUAUGAUUUUAGUUGCUUUUUUGGGGAAUGGUUCUCUAUUUUGUUUGCUUCUUCUGAUUAAGCCAAAAUAAUAUAAUGAUAUAUGGUGAAAGUUCGGAUCGUCCGCUAUAUAGCAUUACCAAAAAUUGCUCCAUUCUCUUCUUUUCUUCUGAUGAAUUUAUAGUAGUAGUACAAUUAUGCUGUCUCUAUGAUCAAAUGUUGUGGUUCCCCGCAUUAUCUCACGCGAACGCUAGCAAAUUUUAAUAGAGUCACUUAGGAAAAUAUAUGCAGGACGUGAUAUUUGAAAUUUCUUCUUGCGUCUGUUGCUGGCAAUUUUCGAACAAUUUAGCUCAGAGCAUGGAACUAGGAGAACUAAGCUAUCAAAAAUGUUGAUCGCAAUAUUAUGAAAGUAGUGACACAAAAGAAAAGUAUAAUCUUCUUAGAGAAUGUUGUGCCUGGUAUUUUCUAUAUUGUUUUCCCUACUUUUUUUUUGUGCUUUUCUUUCUGUGGAUUUUCUCCCUACACCAUUUUGUGUUAGAUGUAUUGUACUUUUUUGGGGGGUUCUUUGUCUGAUUUUUAUGACAUGCUGUGCUUAUUUCGGUAUUGUUUCUUUCUAGACUUCUUUAUUUUUUGCCUAUUUUAUGUGAUGAAACUUGCUCGUUUAAUUUAGGUAUGGUUGCUGCAUACAUUUCAUAACUAUUUAUCGCAUUAUUUUUACUACUUCCUUUUGUACUCACUAUUUUUCUCACUAUUUUUUUGGACUUUUUCCUGUUUUGUGGUACUUUUUUAAGAAAAGAAAAAUCCUUUUGUGCAUUAUAAGCAAUAUCAAAUUUUAGGAUUGUGCAUUAUAAACAAUAUAAAGUUUUGCCAAUAGAUGUUGAGAUUUAUACAAUGGUGAAGUGCUUCACCAAAUUUAUUUUAUUUUCGUAGAAAAUCCGAAAACUAUUUUGUUUACUGUUCGAUUCAUUCCGCGUUAUGAUUUUUGUUAUUUAUUUAUUUGUUUAGAUGCUCUAUUAUUUGUGCUAUUACUGUUAAAUUUUUCUCCAUAUUGUUUCUGUUAUUACUUGGUUAUCAAGUUGUUUUUUUGUGAUCUUCAAUCUAUAUCUUCCUACUUUUUCCCUCUCUAUUAUGCAGCUUUUGGGUGAUCCAGGACUUUGCUUCUGUAUGGUGUAUUUUUAUGUUAUAAUUACUCAUCAAUUUUGUUAAAAAAGCUUAAAUACUAUUUGGUACUUUUUGUUUAAUAUAUUGGUGCAGUUUUAGCUCUCUUAUUUAGUUUCUCGAUAAUCCAAAACUUUGCCCUUUUUUUAUUUUUUCAUGUGACAAUUUCUCAUCGGUGUUUUUUAAACAACUUUUUUUCUCAAUUGCUAUUUGAUACUUUUCUUUCUAUAUUCUGGUGUAAUAUUUUGUCCUUCCAGAUCUUUCGCAUAAUUGGAGGCUUUCACGUUGUUAUGUUCAUUUUCAUGUGCUAAGUUGUCUUCGCAGGUUUAAUAAACAACUCUGAAUGACAAUCGAAUAUAUUGUUUUAACCUUAUCAGCAGUAAUCUCUUGCGUCAUUGCUAAAUGUAGAAAAUUUAAAAAUGCUCUAAUAUCUUUCAUCUUUGUUUUAGACAUGUUUACAAUGGUUGAUUUAACAAGAUUGUCUCUUUUGUCUUUCAGUAAUCGUUCCAGUGUUUGCUACAUAGGUUUAUUUGUUUACACUGCUUAAGGGUUCGCGAAAUACUUUUGUUGUAUUUGCUCUGGUAACAUCUGUAAUUCGCGGUGAGAGUUUUGAAUUCAUUAGAACAUUGAAAUAUUUGCUACUAAGGUUUAUUUGUUUACGCUGCUUAAGGGUUCUCGAAAUACCUUUGUUGUGCUUGCUCCGGUAACAUUUGCAAAUUGCGGCUGGAGUUUUGAAUUCGUUAGAGCAUUGAAAUUCAUAAUUUUGCAUUCACAAAUUUGCUACAUUUCGAAUUAGUUGUAAGUAAUAAAACAUACCUUGACCUAAAAUUAAGCCAUCUUACUUUACAAAAUUCUAUAGUUGGAAAAAAAUUAUUUAAAAACUGUAAUACAAUACUAUUGUAUUAGCUCCCCACCGCAACGCGCGGGUCCCCUUAACUAGUACGUAUAAAUGAAUCUUCAAAAUAAACCCAUGCAGAAAGUUACAAUGUAAGAAUCACUAUGCAUGCACUCCUAGCUAGGCAUUGUUCAAGAAAUCCUAGGCAGUGUUUGAUUGGGAGAAAUCUUAGAAUAAGAGGAAUAUCCGCUCAUUUAUACCUAAAAACCGCCAAAAAAAAAAUUAUAGAUAGAACUAAUUGGGAGUCUAACCGAAUUAUUUAAGAACAAACCAUUAAUCCCUGUGCCUUAGAGUGCAUGAAAUAAGAUAGUUCCCCUAUUUGAUUUCUCAAAUAUUCUAAAUCAAAAUCUAACAUAGUCGGAUUAAUGCCUGUGCCUUAGGGUUGUUUGGUUUCAUGUAAAAAUAUGAAAAAUAAUUUUCGAUGAAAAAUAUUUUUGGCUGAAAAAGAGUUUCACGCUUUUUUUGCGUUUAAACUUGUAGGAAAAGAAUAUUAAUUUUUCAACCAUACGUGUUUGAUUUGUAGAAAAGGAAAAGAUCAAUAAAAAAUUAUUUCAUAUUUUUUUCUGCUAUUAUAUAUAUUACUACUAUAAGUGCCACAUGCAAUGAACUGUUUGUAUUAAACAUCAAGCAUUUUGAAAAUUAAUUUUAUUAAAAAUUUAUAAUGUAUUUCACUUUCAAAUUUGAUAGAAUUUUGUUAAGUUUGUUUUAUCAAGCUGAACAUCAAUAAUUAAAAAAUUCAAUAACAUCCAAUGAUAGCUAAGGUAGCCAUUACAGGAUAAUAAGAAAAAAUUUUUACUGAUAUUUUGACUGUAGGUGUAUUUUGUAAACAAGAGGUAUUGUGAGAGAAAAAAAUUGAUAGGCCUAACUUUAAAGUCGUUUUGACUAUAGAGCUUCCGAAUUGAUGAUUCAUACCGUUAAAUAUAACAAAGAGAAUUUAAACUUUUUAGAAAUGAAAUUUCAUAAUUUUUUGAUAUCAAAUACUUUAUGAUCGAAGAACCUCAAAAUUGACAAUUUUAACGGUCGUUAGUGAGUGUUUCCAAACUAACGGUGUAGCUAGAAGAAUUAGAAUCGGUUGAAUUUUAAUUAAAAAUUAUAUUCACUAUAUAGAUUGUAAUAUACCGAAUCCUCGAGUCGUAAUGCUAAUUAACUUUGAUCGAAUUGAUCAAAGUGAGGUAAAAGGGUGACAAGCGAGUUUCCCGAGUGGCCUUGAAGGCGUUGGGAUGGAUGAAAGUGACUUCCGGAGGUGUUUGGGUGUUUUCGGCGCAAACCAGGCGCGGAAACGAAAUCCGAAACACUGGAGUUGCUGGACUGCACAAGGGACAUGCAGUAUCGGUACUAAGCCAAUGUUGUACCGGUACCUAGCAGGAGUGCAAUAUGAUUAGCUCUCGGGAUCGGGAUCCUGGUGAGCUAUGUACCGGUACCUGAGGCUGGUACCGGUACUGGGAGCCCUGUGUACCGGUACUCCAACCCGAGUACCGGUACCCAGUCUGUUAGUGAUUGAAUUGUAAUGGUUGAUGGGAUAUUUUGUGAGGGGCUUCUUUGUAAAUGUAGGAGCCUAUAACCAUGAUCCUUACACUGUAUUCCCCAUGCAGAGAAACACUUUGUUCUCUCCUUCAUCUUGUUUCCUCCUCUCUCUCUAGAAGCCCAAGAUGAGAAUUGGAGGAAAAUUAAAGGGGAAUUGGUGGCUUUGGUGUUGAAGAAGCCCAAGAUCAAGGUGAACUUGAGUAUCAUGGGAGUCAAGGUAAAUUCUCUUGUUCCUAUUUGUUAGGGUUUGAUGUAAAUACCCUAGUUUGUUUAGUUUUAUGGUUUUUGGGUUUUGGAGGGUUAGAUUACUCCAUGAAUUCCUAAGAAAUUUGAGUAGGUUGAGGUUAUGUGAACCCUAGUGAUGAAAAUGGGAUUUUGUAAGUUAGGAGAUCUAACAUGGAAUUGAUCUCUUGUAAUCCUAAUUGAAGAUAAAUUCGACACGUUGGAAGGCUUAGAUCGAAGUUCCGAAGAGUCUACGACAAGAUAUUGAGGAAAAGCUUCGUUUUGCCUUCGUUAGCCGUGGGUCGAGAGAGAUAGGCAUCUAAAAAUCACGGGAUUUGGAUUCUCGCAUCUUGGCAUCCCUACGAGGUGGGUGGUACUAUCCGAAAUCUUCGAAUCCUUCAUUAUGUCUAUGUCCCCUUGUUGAGCAUAUAUGUAUAUGUAUAGUUGGCAUUCAUGCAUUUUAGGGUUGAGGUUAUUAUGUGGCUAAGUUGGACAACCUUGUAUGCUUUCAAUGUCAAAAAUAUGUGAAACAAUAAAGGACUAUGAUAUAGAUCCCUAUGAAUGUAUGAACACGAUAUUGGACCAUGACAAUAGUAAAUAAGGUGACAUUGUGACUAGACGGAAUGAAUAGCACCAAGAAUUAUGAAUGCUAGACAAGGAAAAACUAUAUAUAAACUUGUGGCAAUUAUGACAUGUACCCUCCAAGUGAGAAUUGGAUCGUACUCACAUAUAGUUUGAAUGCUUAAGGGUGGUUGCUCCACCUCAAGCGGUGAGCUUCAGAGUUGGCACCACUAGGCGGUAGCGGAAUUCUCCCCAGCAGACGGUCCCGUCGGGUUGCAGUGGAAUUCUCCCUGACAAAGAGGGAUUUGGUUUGGUGAGUUGGGUUUAAUUAAAAGGUUAACCAAGAGAAUUGGGUAAAGAUAAAGGUAAAAGAGCAUGCAUGCAUCAUGAGCAUCUUAUUAUUGCUUCAGUUUUUGUACAUACAUUGUAGUAGCAUUAAUUGGUUUGCUAUCUAUUUCCUUUUCCUACAUAUGCCUAAGUAGACCUAGUGGGUGAGUUGGUGAGGUCGGCGGCCGAACCCACUGAAAACUUUCAUAAUUCUCACCCCACUAAUCAUGCAGAUCCUAGCGUGAGCGGGGCGGUCGAGGAUCGCGGCAUGGAUAUCGCGCACUAGAUAGUGGACCUCCAUUGAGUAUAGUUAUACCUUUUGUAUUUCAUCUAUUGUAGUUGAUGAAAGGAAUAUGUAAUAGUUGUACUUAAGAGAUGAGUAUGUAACGGAAAAAUAAAAUUUGUAAGCCUUGUAUUUGGUUUAAAAUAAUCAAGAUACAAUGUAUGGAUGUAAUAACUAGUUUACUUUCACUUGCUCGUGUUGCUUGCCCUUAUGCAAGUCAUGUAUAUUGAAAUUCUUCCUAGGCAAAUUUUUUAUAUAUGCCUUGUUGUCGUGGAGCCUUGGGUGGACAGAGGAGGUUCUGUCCGUUCGGCGUGUGUGCAUACCCGAACCAAUCAAAUUGGCGGCCAUGGAGCAUGACAUAGAUCAAGAUCAAUAACUAUAAUCUUGAAUUUAAAAUCCUAUACCCUAUUUUUAGGAGUUUGUUCCAUUUUGGUCUUUCAUUUUACACUCACUUGAUACACUUUAUUAUAAAUUUUUAAAACUACAAAUUCGAUUUAUAUAUAUUUCAAAUGCUUUUAAUCAUUUAAAUUUCACAUGUCACCAAAAAAGUCUUUAGUUACAAAAAAAAAAAAAAAAAAACUGUCACAAAAAAAUACUUAAUUUCAAAGAGAAUGGAAUUCAAACCUGCAACCUUAAAGAUCUCUUAACUCCUCCCAACCACCAUACCACAAACCUUAAAGAUUGGAAUUCAAACCUGCAACCUUAUAUAUAUUUCAAAUGUUUUUCAAAAGUGUCAACUCUUUUUUAUUUAUUCUUAUUUACGCGCUAUAUUUUAUUUCUAAGACCCAACCCAAACCCUCACCUAAUACCCGACCUUUCCUCCCAAACCAUUCUAUUCAUCUCUAGGUAUCGUUCUGUUGAGAUCUCCGGCGAUCGCCGUUGGAGGGAUUUCCGGUGAUCAGGUUGGGGCUCCGCUCCGCAAUCAAGGUAGUCAAGCUUUACAUCGUUGGGGCUCAGCUGCAUCCAUUUCAUCACCUCCUCUCUUGACCACGUCUUCUACCCCGACCUCGUCAUCAAUUUCUUCAAUAUCUCCCCAUCUAUCUGAGGAAGCUUACUAACUUGGUAGGUUGCAAAUUUGUGUGCUAUUUUUUAAUUUUUUAAUAUUUUUGUUGCUUUAUAGUUCUUAUGAAUCUUUCGGAUCAAAAGGUAUGAUCAAAGAAAUAUAAUUAAAUAGAUGCUUUUUAUCACAUGAUCCGGAAUAAUCGACAAACUCUCCACAGUUUAUUCACUUAGGAAACAAUCACUAGGAAGUUAAAGUUUUGAAACUAAAAGUAUUCCUAAAACAAAAAGUAUUAAUGCAUUUCUUAAAUAGCAUAAUGUGUUUCCUUGCAUCAAAGAAUGCGUAAUAGAAUGAAAUAAUAAAGAACGGUAAAAGAAUGAAAUAAUAAGUGAAUUGAGGCAUUUCAAGUAAAUUUAGAUAGUAAAACACUACUAUUAAAUUGACGUAUUUUGCCUAAAUUAAUUUAGAUGGCAAAACACUACUAUUUUCCAUUAUUCAAUGUUCUUGUUGGCAAAGUAGUACUCAAUCUUGCUAGUUGACCUUCUAGAAGUAAAUAUAACAAGUAUUUAACUUCUAAAUGAAUUUGAAAUUAAUUAUAGACAUGGUUUUUCUCUGGACUUUAUCUAAAACAUAGAAAUCUUAUCAUGUCUUAAAUUUUGUUGUAGAAAACAAAGAGCUAGUAGAUUCAAGUUCAAUAUAAAUCCACUUAUAAACCAUUUUUUGAAUAGUGUAUAGUUGGCUCACCCCAAAUAAUCUCUGCUGGUAGUAGCGUGCUGGUCAUUUUAUUAGUCAGAUUUACUACUGUCAUUGGCAAUGUAGUUUUUGUAGAAGUUAUACAUCGGGUUGUAAAUAUAAGUUGCAAAUUCUUGUGCUAUUUUUUUUAUUCUUUUUUAAUAUUUUUGUUGCUUUUCAUGCUCCAUGUAUAAAUUCCAUUGUUUUAUUGCCAUAGAAAAAAUGUUGGACAAAAGUUGGCUGCAUAUUAAGAAUGGAUUAAGUCCUGAAUAUAAAGAAGGGGUUUCGAAAUUUCUAGAUUUUGUAUUUGGAAUGACAUCCGGAGAUACAAUUCCAUGUCCUUGUAAGAAGCUAUUUAAGAAUGAGGUUGAGACCGAUUUAAUGGUAAAUGCCCGUGCGGGAUUGGGCGCCGAAGUGGAUUGCCGUAGGAAAGGCUCGUUCCUAGAGUGGGAAUGUUGACUACCACGGGGUCAUUAGGCACGACACAAGUCGGGACGUUACCACGUGUAAGUCUCUGGUUAAUUGGGUAAAAGUUAAAUAAACUUGACAUUAAGAUGGACAUACUAGUAGGCAUUUAUCUUGUGACACUAGUUGAUGCAUACAUAGUAGAUAGACAUACUAGUGAGUUGUUAUCUUGUCACCCCCCGGGACCCGGCAUAGCCCCGCCCGGUGCGCGCCCAGACCCGCCAUAUGUCUACACAUAUAAGGCGUCUACACAAAAGCGGAAGAGUAAAGCAAGAGAAAAUCUACAACUAGAGAUAUCAGAGCAAGUAUAUAGCUAGGUUCUAUCAACAAGCAGAAAUAAAAAGGAAAGAAAAAGAGACUAAACCACUAGAACAUAAAGAAACUAAUACAUCAUAAGUCUCCAGAUACAAAAGUAGGGUGGUCUCUAUAAUAAGGUACAAAACUCUCACAACCUCUCCAACAGAAAACAAAAGAGAGGUGGAUNGAAAACAGCAAUCCGAGAGCAGCCUAAGUCCAAUUUUUUGGUGACCUUAGGGCUACUUUAAAUACCUCAAAUCUCGGGAUACGAGCCAUGGGUCGGAACACUGUCAACGACCUACCAGAAAAUCUGGAAAUGCUCAGAACACAACCCAGACACUCGAACCUCACAAUUUGCAAAGGUCCAGUGUGUUACAUAUCUUGUGACACUAUUUGAUGCAUUCGUAGUAGUUGGACAUUCAUGUUGGACAUUGUUUGCAUUGACAACCUUAGUGGUAGCAUACCUAUACUCAUGUUAACUAGUAUGGAAAUGUAGCUUUAUGAUGACAAUAGCUAUUUGAUCAUAAUGAAAGAUUUUCUCUUUAACUAUGGCAUAUAACUUAAAGAUGGACAAGCACGUAAAUUUGCAUAUUCAUAUACUUGUGCAUGUGAUAACAUACAUGUAGUGAACAUAUCAUGUAAAGGCAUGUCUAUAACUGAAUUUGUAGGUUAUGGAAACCCUAGGAUCUAUCUAGAUACUAUCAAAUCAAACUAGAGGGGGGUGAAUAGGUGUAUAGCCCAAAAAUACAAAUCUAAAUGCGAUAAAAGUAAAUGCAGAAAACAAAAUAGCACACCGAGAUUUACGUGAAAAAACUCUAAUUUGGAGAAAAAUUCACGGGACCAACACGCGAAAACAUAAUCCACUAAGAGAAAAUAUUAUAAGGUGAUUACCGACUCCACGGAUUUAACCUCACUUUAACCUCCUACAGAUCUCGUGCAUGUCACUGGGUUGUCCACGCCCCACGUUCGAAUCCACGAAUGCCACGCCUCACGUCCAAAUCUACGAACGCCACUCGAAUCCUCGAGCCCACGAUCCAAAUCCACAAACCGCCUUGAUCACGUCAAAUCCACGAUGUCGUACAUGAAGAGUUUUAUGUUUCUACGGUGAUCCUUUGCUUAGAGAGUCAUUGAAAAACCAGAGAAAAAUCUCUAAACAAAGUUUAGAUCAAUUCGACAUAUUAAUAUUGAAUUCCAAUAUCUCGAAUUGAACUAAAAGAGGCUAUUUGAUGGAAAUGGGUUUAAAACGAAAACCUAGCCUCUAGGGUUACUCUAUCAUGUAAUCUCGUGCUUCUGUGUAUUAGAGAACUCCAAUGUCAUAUUUAUAGACUUCAGAAUCAAUUAGAAUAGAAUUAGAGGCUUAAUUAGGAAAGUUUACAUUGUACCGGCACUCGAGUGUGGGUACCUGUCACGCCUCGGGACCCAGCGGAAGCCCGCCCGGCACGUGUUCAGACCUGCCAUAUGCCUACGACAUAUCAGGCGUCUACAACAAAGCGAUAAACAAACAACUAGUAACAAGUAUCUAGAGAUAGCAGAGCAAGUGCACAACUAGAUUCUAAUAACGAGUAGGACGAAAAGAGAACUAAAUCACUAACAUAAACAUAAAGUAGUACAACAACAAAACCCAAAUACAAGUGCUAAGCAUACAAAAAUGGUGGUCACUAUACAUGGGUAUAAAACUCUCGCUCUCUACACAGAUACAAAAAUAGAGAGAUGACCACCUAAGAGCAAACACUCCUCGCUAGCUAGCUAAGCGAUCCCUUUGCCACGAUCCCGAGCCUCCACCGGUGCGGAUGGCUCUGUAAGAAAACACAAACAGGGGGCGUGAGAACUAUAAUCAAUAGUUCCCAGUGGACAAUUGCCGACCUCAGCGAAAUGCACCACUAGGCUAAAAAGGCCAAAAGUAGUAUAUUCAACUUGUAAAUGAAAAGAACAUAGUGUAUAUAAAACAUGAAAUAAACUUGCUAACUACUAUGCCUCUACUUAGCAUAGAUUUCCACAAAUAUAAAUGCUAUUCUAACAUGAAUAUGCACAAGUAUAACUAACAUGAUGUCCACAAGUGCAACUAGUAAAAUGUCAUUGUUUACUAAUUCGUUUAAUGUCCAUUUUGCAUUUUAGUUCCAAUAAUGCUCCGAUCAUAUAGGACCUACCUGUGGUAGUCCGGCUUGCGUUGUGCCUAAUGGCCCCGUGGUAGUCAACAUUCCCACUCUAGGACUGAGCCUCCCCCACGGCAUCCCAUUUCGGCGCCCAAUCCCGCACGGGCGAGCUUCUAUUGCGUUGGCUAUCUCCAGAGUGCCGGCUUGUGGGGAGCGACCCUCACAAGUAUGUGCGAAUGAGCACAAUAGCAAGCAGGCAUAAAUAUCCAUCUCAAGUCCAAUGUCAUCAUGUCUAAAACAUGGUAUAAGAGCUAGUGUCCCAAUGGCCCAACACUAUGUGAUCAUGUAGCAGUUUAACCAUUUACUAGGUUGAAUGCCUUUUUAUGGCAUUUUUGUCCACUAUGUCAAACAUAAGUUUUACAUCAAAGAGCAUGAUAUUCUAGUCAUUUCCAUUGUAAGAAACAUGAUUCCAAACCAUAUAAUAGAAUGCUAUUCUCAUGCAUGUUAACAAUGCACAUAUCUCUCUCUACUAUAUAGAGAUAAUUUUCAUUCUAAAAUUCACAUAUGCCCUAUCUAGUAUGAAUAUGCAUGAUUUUUUAUUUUUCAAUAAUUAAAAUGACAUAGGUGAAAUUUUUCUCAUUUCGGUAAGGUCAAACCCACAAAGACUCAAAUUCCCGUCGUUUGUGCCGAUGAAGGUGUCCACACGUCUCCUAGCUCCCUAAAGAUAAUUCUAAGAGGGAUAAGCAAAACGAACGAACACUUCUAUGAUCAAACUUUAAUCAACCCAAGAAAAGGGCAAAAACUCACCUUGUAUGAUGAAAAUCUCUUUCAAUCUCCAAAUGAGAGCAAGAACCCUUCUAAUCCAACCCAAAUGAAAGUUCUACACCUAUCAAUUAAGUCCUAAAAGCCACAAAUCAAAAAUCCCCAAAUAAAACUCCAGAUUCUCAUUUCUAGGUUUUCAUCUAAAAAAUUCUACCAAAACAAAGAGAAGAUUUAUGAUACUAACCUUUAAAUAAGCUCCAAUCCAAGCUUGGAAUGAGCUAAGGUUGAAGAUUGAUCCUCUAGAAAGCUUCUCUCAUCAAUCCAAAGCUUCUCCAACGGAGGAAAUCCAACAUGAAGCAAAGAGGAGAGAAAAAGAGAGAUCAACUCAAGCAAAAACCAAGAAAAAUGGGAGAAAAAACAAGGGAGAGGGUCCUCACUUGUUUCUCCACGUUCUAGGGCUCAAAAGAGUCCUCAAGGGGCUGUGGAGGGGUUAUAUAGAGUUGCGACAUUUGCAAAAACACCCUCCAACAACGUGCAGUCUGCACUGCACUGCGUACCGGUACCACGGGCAAGAGUCACCGGUUAACAGGUAGCAGACUGCGCAACCCGAGCCUCGGGCUGGCAAAAUGUAACACACUGGACCUAUGCAAAUUGUGAGGUUCGAGUGAUUGGAUGUGUUUCGAGCUUUUCCACGCGUUGUGGAGGGUCGUAGAAGGUGUUCCGACCUAAAAAGUUCGAAUCCUGGAAUUUCAGCUAAGUCCUGAGAGUUUUACUCUUGGGGACCGGUCCCUGCGGGGAGACACCGGUCCCCCGGCGAGGCAACCGGUCCCUGGCGGAUGAGAUCGGUCCCCAAGCAUGUUUUCGCGGGGAGAGACCGAUCCCAUGCGGGGAGAGACCGGUUCCCGAGAGCAGGUUUUGCGGGAUGGACCUGAGAGACCGGUCUCAAGCAGGGAGAGACCGGUCCCUCUGGGCAAAAUCUGCCUAGUCCGGGCUUUGCACAGGUUGCAAAGUUGACGGACUUUUUUGGAU